AAGCUCGUUCUAUUAGAUUCUAUGAGUUCCCGAUGGAAGUAUUGAAACUAGUUCAAUUAAGAUACCUCGCCCUCCUUUAUAAUGGAAACCUCCCUUCUUCCAUUUCCAAACUCUGGAACCUUCAAUACUUGAUUGUUUUUCAACAUCCAAGGAUAGUAAAAUCUGUUGGGAAUCUAUUGUAUCUGCCUAUUGAGAUAUGGAAUAUGAAUGAAUUGAAGUAUCUUCAAACCUACGGAAGAGAGCUACCACAUCCUUGUUGUGAAGGAUCUCUCAUACCAAACCUCUUAAACCUAAGUGGUGUCGGUCCUCAAAGUUGUGCCAAAUCUGUGCUCGAAAAAAUCCCUAAUUUGAAGGAAUUAAGAAUUAAUAUCGAGCUGGCUCCUGAUGCUACAGAGCCCUUGACAUGCUUUGAUCACAUUUCCCUUCUCCAUCAACUACAAGAACUAGGAUGUUACAUUAUGAAUCCUACAUUGAAGACAGAUGUUGUUACCCCACUUGUUCCUCUUUCAGACUUCCCAUCAAGUCUUACAGAGUUACAUUUGAGAGGCUUAGGAUAUCCGUGGGAAGAAAUGAGAAAGAUCUCUUCAUUGCCAAAUCUUACACAUCUCUUGCUGGAAUGCUAUGCCUUUCGAGGCCCAAAAUGGGAGGUUCGUGACAACGAAUUCCAAAGGCUUGAAUCUCUUGAGAUUGAAGACAUUGAUCUGGAGCAAUGGACAUUUCAAAAUUGUCAUUGCCUCCCUGUGAUUGUGAGCCUUCACAUCGCACAUUGCUACAAGUUAAAAGAGAUCCCUCUCACAUUUGGUAAAUCUCUUGUACACAUUACAUUAGUCGAAUGCAACCCUAUGGCUGUGAAAUGUGCAAUCAAGUUAAAAAAGGAGUGGGACGACAAAUAUGCUGGUCGUGAACGUUUCUUACGUCUUGAUGUUCGUUCUUCACUGUAACAAUGGGAACACCAAGCCGUGACCGACUCUACCAUAUCAUUGAUUCUGAAAAGGUUAGUCGUUAAAUUUUUAUAUCUAUCGAAAAUACUAAUAAUUUAGUCAAUGCCCAUUCAGGUAAAAGGAAUUAAACAACCAUAAAUUUUUUAGUAUUAAAUUUGACUUAACAUAUAUAUUUUUUUAUUAUAAUUUCAUCAUACAAUGAAUAUUACCAAAGAUAUACUCGGUAUAUAUGCAUACAUUCUCCUACAAAACAAUAGAAAUAGACAAUAUAGGUAUAUGGUUGAUGACACAUAUAAUUGGAUGAUAUAAGUUGCGUUUGGAUGAAACAGUUUGAAUUUGCUACAAUAGAGAUAGAUUUUAUUAUAGGGUAAAUUACGAAAACUCCCUGAACUUAGGCUAAAUAACGAAAGAAAAAAACCCACCUAUUCGUAAUUACCAAAAGCCCCUGAGGUUUGUUUCCGUCUUACACCAACCCUUUACAGUGUGAGUUUUCACGGAUUUUUUUGCAUCCAAGAAAUAGACUUUACAUAAUUUCGGAUAUUUUCUUUUAUUUAUCACCUAUUUAAUAGAAGGUAUUUAAAACUCUAUUAACAAUUAAUUAGAGGGGGAUUUCGGUUAUUACAAAUAGGUGGGGUGUUUUUCAUUAUUUAGCCUAAGUUCAGGGAGGUGUUCGUAAUUUACCCUUUAUUAUUUGAUUACUGAUCAAUGAAUUUGCUAUUAUGGAUUAAAAAAAAAAUUAACAUCCGAAAUCAUUGAACAUUCUCCUUUAUUACAGGUGUAUCGUCUCGAGAGCCGUAGGCUGAUUGAUCACGAGAGAAAUUACAUCGACAUUGUUUGCAUCAAGAAAUCGGAGGAACGUACUUUCAGUUUUGAGACGGACAAAUCAAAGCGUGUUUGAAUAUUUUGUUAAUGUUAUUUGGUGUGUUUAAUUUUUCUUGAUUGAUUUUUUAUUACAUCCUCAUCAGUUAUAUGUUGUGAGGUUAAAAUUAAUACUAUUGCGCAAUUAAUAAAGUGCACGUGUGUCGCACAUAUUGUCGAAUUUACAAGUUUUACCCGUCUCUGCCAAAAAAGGUAAAUCAAAGAUAACGACAUACAUACGAUAACCGAAGUAUAAGGAACAUAUAUGCUAGUAAGUCAUAUUUUCUAUCGGAAAAAAGCCGUGUUGAGUCUCUCGAUUUCAUAUUUCAAAGAACUAAAAAGCCCUCUGUUUCAUUACUUGAAGUUAGGUGUAAAAUUCUCCCCUUUGACAGUUUUUGCGGAGCAAAAUCUCACCUUAGAAAACACAUUGCAAAUUAUGAAAAGAAAAUCGAGGAAUGGUAUAAGCAUAUGCAGCCUCGAAACACAAUAUCAAACAUCAAACAAAACGAGGAAUGGGGGGUGUCUUUUGUGUAUUUAUGAAAUUCCUCUUAAAAUUCUACAUUUACAUGAAUGGGGGUAUUUUUUUUCUGAGUCAUGUGUGGUGCAAAUGCUAUUUUCCGUACAUACUAACUGGACAAACGGACGGAGGGACAAAAACAACAUAAAAAUGGCAUAUUUAGGGACGUAAAUUGUAACUUUAUCUUGUUUAGGACGAAAAUCGAAUAAGUGGUAUAGUAUAGAGAUGAAAAGUGUAGUUAUCCCUAAGAUGUUUUUGAAAGAAUCCCUAGUCUAGAGGUUUUAGCAAUCCAAAUAGAAAUGGCUCCCGACAAUUUUCCACCCUUGAGAUGCUUUUGGUCAUAUUUUCCAUCUCCAUAAAAUAAGGUCUCGUUCCUUCGGGAAGAUAAGAUUAGCCAACAUAAAAUUAAAUAAUCUAAUAAAACUCAAUUGUAUUAUUGGACAUUGGAAGAUCCAAUAAAAAACAUGCAUGCUUAAAAGGCGAGACAAAGUAUGAUAACAUAAUAUUUGCAGGUCGACCCAGUAAAUUAUUCAGGAUACCAAACAUCAAACAAAGUCUCUUUAUUUAGUUAAGGGUAAAUUACAGCCACCCCCUGAGGUACGGUUAAAUUACGAAAAAACCCCUCUUGUUUGGGUAAUUACAACCACCCCUCAACUAUGAAUUUUUGUACAUGUCCAUCCUUGUGGUGUCAAAUUUAGUGGAAUCUUCUAGAUUAUGUGGAAUAUUCUCCAGUUUGUAUCCUUUUUAAUAUAUUCGAGCUCCACAUUUUGAAACAAAAUGAUCAUAAGAUGUGUAAUUUGAUACGUAAAUAUCAUAUUGUGGGGCAUCAGAAACUGCAUUUUUGUACAAAACUAGUACAAACUAAAGAACACUUCACGGAAUCUAGAAGAUUCUGUUGAAUUUGAAACCAUAAGGAUGAAUGUGUAAGAAGAUUCAUAAUUGAUGGGGUGAUUGUAAUUACCCAAACAAGAGGGCAUUUUCAUAAUUUAACCAUACCUCAGGGGUGGCCGUAAGUACUAGAAUGUGUCACUGUGAAUCCCAUAUUGAAGACAGAGGUUGUAGAAAAUCUACAGCAAAUUGCUUCUUCAAAAGGUUAGUCAUUCAAUUUCUCGCAAAAUAUCACAUGGAAAUUAAUGAAGUACGUCAAAAUCGAAAAGAAAAUCGAGAACGACGGUAUAAGCAUAUGCCGUGUCGGGCUUCUUACACGAGUUGGGAUUGUCCCUCUCAGGUCGACCGACGACCCAUCGGCUGAUUGUAUUAGUUGUUUACUCUAUGUAGUGUGAUUUUCUAUUUUUUUUUAAAAGCUGUCUAGCUUAUACAUAAUAAAGAAUAAUGCAGUACAACCUGUAAGACAAGUUAAUUAGUGCACAUCUUUAUGGUUGACUCUUUUGUCACAUCUUUGAAGAGCAAUAAUUUCACAAACAAAUGCAAGAAGACUUAUUCCAGACUGAAAACUAUGUGAUAUCUUAGAGAGAGAGAGCAUUGAGAGAGAUGGCUUAUGGUGCUGUUGGUUGUCUUGAGCUGACAACUGAGCGCCUUUUAAAAUCAUCACAUAUUUCGAUUGUUCAAAAUUCAUCCCCACAAAUAAUUAACCUUCUGUACGAGGAGAUUCUUUCCUUAAAACUUUGGAGGCAGAAAUCAUAGAGGCAAUAUACGAAUUCGAAGAUGUAUUUGACUCUCAUCUCGCAAAUCAGUUCUAUUCACAAUCUGAAGAAGAGACCGGUGAUCCUCCAUUAAUGUUAUUCUCAGUAGAUCUUCAAGAAAUAAAGCAAGAUGUCGAUUCCUUUGUCGAAAGGAUGAACAAGAUGAAGAAGGCCUACAUUCAUGAGUUAUGCAACCCCUCGCCGGAAGAAGAUGAUUGUGUCGGCCCGUCAUCAAGGAUUGAUUUUGGUGGAAAUGAUCGAUGAUUAUAACAUGGUAGGAAUAUCUGAUCUAUUUACUGAAAUCAAAGAUCUGUUUGGAGAAAAUUCCUCACAAUCUGAAGGGAUAUUGACUGUCUCGUUGGUCGGGAUGGCAGGCAUUGGUAAGACCACUCUUGCCAAGAAACUCUUUCAAGAUCCAUCCAUUUUCAGUUGUUACACCAGACAUGUAUUCGUAACCAUAGGCCCUAAAUAUCGACUAGCGGACAUCUUGGUGGAUAUUCUGACACAAUUGAAUAAUCUUGCUACAAGUUAAAGGAGAUCCCUCUCACAUUUGGUAAAUCUCUUGUAUGCAUUCAAGUAGUCGAAUGCAACCCUAUGGCUGUGAAAUGUGCAAUCAAGUUAAAAGAGGAGUGGGACGACAAAUAUGCUGGUCCUGAAUGUUUGUUACAUCUUCAUGUUCGUUCUUCACUGUAACAAUGGGAACACCAGGCCGUGAGUGACUCUACUAUAGAGAAAUAAGAUAAAAUAAUACACUUUUUGAUUACUGCAAUUUUCUCUCUAUUCCACAUUACAUUGGCCUCAUACCUAUUUAUACAUAAUAAAGGCGGUGGUUUGGGAGCACUAAUUAAAUCCACCAACCUAAUUAAUGUUAUAGUUAAAAUUAGUUGGCCUAAUGAAGCUUCUAGUGAAAAGACUUCUGGAGAGUUUUCUAGAACAAUGGAGUUCUUGCUAAUCUUAACACUCCCCCUCAAGAACUACUCUCCUUCAAUGUGGAACUUCGGUUGAUUCCUAACUUUUUUCGAAAAUCUUCGAACUUGACGCCAUUGACUCCUUUUGUGAAUAUAUCUGCAAGCUGCUCUCCUGUUCUUAUGUGUUUGAUUUCAAUUUCUCCUCGUAGUACCUUCUCACGCAGGAAAUGAUAGUGUACUUCAAUGUGUUUCGUCCUUGCAUGAAACACGGGAUUCUCCGCAAGACGGAUUGCUGCCACAUUGUCACAGUAUAUUUGUGCAGAGGUGUUAUCAGAUUGCCCAAGAUCUUUCAAAAGUUGAUGCAACCAUGUGCAUUCUUGAGCUGCCAUAGCUGCCGCACGAUACUCUGCCUCGGUGCUUGAUAAUGAAACUGUGGGUUGUCGUUUGCUGCACCACGAGAUUGGUCCAGAUCCAAUAUUAAAGACAUAUCCUGAUGUCGAUCGCCGUGUGUUGUGAUCACUAGUAUAGUCAGAGUCACAAUAUCCAAUAAUCUCACAUUUCUCGCAUUUCUUGUACAGAAUCCCGUAGUCAAUCGUGCUUUUCACGUACCGCAAUUUUCUUCUUACAGCUUCCAAGUGAGGUUUUUUUGGGGUCUGCAUAAAUCGACUCACUAUGCCUACUGCAUAUGAUAAAUCUGGUCGGGUUAUUGUGAGAUAGAUGAGGCUGCCGACUAUUUGUCUGUACAUUGUAGCGUCUUCUAAUUCUUUUCCUUCGGCAGAGCAUAAUCGCGCAUUUACUUCGAUAGGAGUAGAGACAGGUUUGCACUCCGUCAUCCCGUAUUUUUCAAGUAAUUCCUUUGCAUACUUGUGCUGACACAAGAAUAUUCCUUCGCCGUCUCUUUCUACUUCAAGACCGAGAAAGUGUUUUAAUUCUCCGAGUGCUUUCAUGUGAAAACGUACUGAUAAGUUGGCUUGGACUUGAUGUAUUUCCUUCUCGUCGUCUCCGGUUAUGAUUAGAUCAUCCACGUACACUAGCACGAUUGCCUUCUUUCCAUUCUGAGUUCUCACAAAUAAACUUGAAUCUGCUCUGGAUAAGGAACUCCGCAAUUUUUCCAUACCAUGCUCGUGGCGCCUGUUUUAAACCGUAAAGUGCCUUCUUUAAUUUGCACACAUAAUCUGGAUCAGUUUUGCUCUCGAAGCCUUGAGGUUGUUCCAUGUAUAUUUCUCGAUCUAGUUCUCCAUGCAAAAAUGCAUUUUUCACAUCCAUCUGGCACAACUUCCAUUGCUUGCUUGCUGCGAGGGCUAGCAAAACGCGUACUGUAGUCAUCUUUGCGACUGGGCUGAAUGUUUCUUCAUAAUCGAUGCCAUACUUUUGCGAAAAACCUCGAGCCACCAACCUUGCUUUACAUCGUUCGAUUGAGCCAUCUGGCUUACUCUUUACUUUGUAGACCCAUUUGCAUGAUAUGGGCUGCACGUCUUUUGGUUUAGGUACCAAAUCCCAUGUUUCAUUUUGCUCCAACGCAUCCAUUUCUUCUUUCAUGGCUCUCUUCCACUCGUCAUUUGAAGCUGCUUCCUCGUACGACAUAGGCUCUUUUAUCAUGUGCUCCUCUACCAUUGCUGCAUUGGCAUAUUUUGGAUUUGGUUUUCGUUGCCUCGUAGACCUUCUAAGUUGUACCUCAUUUUCACGUGGUUCUUCUCGUGUCUCCUCAAAUUGACUCAUUUGUUCUUCUUCGUGAGUUUGGUGUACUCCAGUUUUCCAUGGUGACUUGUCUUUUUCCGGUUGCAUGGCAUCUACAUGUGCCUCGGUUGGUGAAUGCUCAGUACCUUCAUUUUCUUCGAUAUUCCUUCUCAAUUCUUCCUCAAUUUCUUUUGAAUCCGGUAAUGUUAUUGCUUGGGGCGACCACAAUGACGAUAACUCAUCGAACACCACAUUUCGAGAAGUAUAGCAUCUUCCUGUACUUGGGUCGCAACAUCUCCACCCUUUUCUUUCAUUAUCAUAUCCCACAAAUAUACACCGUAUUGCUUUCUUAUCAAAUUUAUUGCGUAGAUUGUCUGGAACAAAAACAUAGCAUACACACCCAAAUACGCGAAAAUGACUUACCGUGGGCUUAGUCUUCCAUAACUUUUCGUACGGCGAGACAAACCCAAGUGUUGCUUGAGGCAGCCUAUUAAUCACGUGGGCAGCAGUGUUCAUACAUUCUGCCCAGAAUCGUGGUGGCACAUUCUUCGCAUGUAACAUGCUCCUACAUGUCUCAGCAAGGUGUCUAUUCUUCCGCUCCGCCACACCAUUUUGUUGUGGAGUACUCGGACAAGUCAGUUGUCUACGUAUCUUACACUCCUUGAGAUAGUUUAUGAACUCCAAAGAUGUGUACUCGCCUCCGUUAUCGGUCCGUAGACUUUUUAUUUUAUAACCAAAUUCAUUUUCCACGUCUUCUUUAAAUUUCUUAAACUUGACUAGUGCCUCAGAUUUUUCUUUCAUGAAGUGUACCCACACGUACCUGGAAAGGUCGUCAAUAAAUGUGAUCAUGUACCGAGAGCCACCUAUAGAUGGUUGUUUCACCGGACCAAAUACAUCUGAGUGGAUUAGCUCGAGAUGAUCCUUUGCUCUGAAUUUUGACUCCUUGUAAGGUAGUUGGUGUGCUUUCCCAUAUUGGCAGCCUGCACAAACUGUACUCUCUCGAACAUCUAAUUGAGGAAGCCCCUUUAGCAAAGAUUUCGUUAUCAUGACCUUCAACUUGAGAUAGUUAAUGUUAAGUAUCUAUUUUUAUACUUUAUCGUACCUUUUUAUUUGAGCUUUUGGUGUGAUUUAACGAUAAUUGGUGCUUAAAAAGUUGAUUUAUUGUAUUUUAGGUAUAAAUUGAAGAAUUGGAAAAGUUUUGGGUCAAAACUGCAAUUUUGGAGAAAAUAUGGGCCAAAAGUGAAAUAAUCAAAAAUAUGAAGAAAUUGGCACGGGACGGCCGUCCCAAAUUUACCCCUAAAAAUGGGACGGCCGUGCCAAAUGCAGAAAUUGGGCAGAAGGUUUCGGCGAUUCUCGCACGGCCGUGUGAGAAUUGCACUGAUUUUCGCGCGGCCGUGCCAACACACGCUGGAGACAAUUUUGGACUUUUAAUCACACAAGGAAACCUAAAAUCAUCCACCAAGUUGGGACAUCUAUUUAAGCCCAAACGAAGCACGAAUUAGAGAACUUUUGACACAACCUUGGAGCAAGAGGAGGGAGAGAACGGAAGAACGAAGACGAAGACCUGACGAAUCUUCAUCACAAUUCUUCUUUCACCUAUCUUUUCUUGAAUCUAUGAAUUUUAUUACUUUUAUUAUGUUUUUCGUUAUGCGUAGCUAAGUUUUUAAUCUAGGAUUUUGUUGGAACCCUAUGUGGGGAUGGUGAACCCGUUUUCUUGAGAUUAUGCAAUUAUGAUUUUAUGAUUAUUUCUUCUACUUGUUAUGAUUGUUAGUGCAUGAACUUGAUCAAUUUAUGUGCUUUAUCUGUGAUUAUUGGGAUUGACUCGACAGAGCUAUUUUGAUAAUUAGACGGUAAGUAGAAGAGCCUUCGAGUAGUUUUCACCGGAUGAGUGUGUCAAUUGCAUGUAUUAUCGUAGACAUACAGAUAAUACCUUAGGUAGCCGUUUACGAGACUUGUUAUUUAAUGCUUUAUUUAUACUAGGUUUGCAUAGACAUAUAGUGAAUCUUUUAUGAAUAAUAGACUUAUAAUACAGCGACAGCUGGUUAUGAGUAAUUUCGUGUCUUGGGUUAAUAAUCGGGAAUCGUAACUUGCAUGAUAGAAGAUUAAUUGGGUGAAGAAUUAUCGCAUAGGGGGAAGAUAAAAUCCUAGAUCCGUUUUAUAUUGAUAUUUUCUCGUGCUUAAUUGCUUUCUUAAUUAGUUUAAUUUAUUUAGUUAAUUAAUUUGACAACCCUGAGUAGGCUUGAUAAAAAUCGUAAUUGUUAGAAUUUGGUACUUAGGAUUAAAUAAUUUGCGUAUUCCCUGUGGGAUCGACAUCCGACUCUCACGAGUCUACUUUACUACUUGUUUGCGAUACGUGCACUUGCGUGUUGGUAUUUAGCACCCAACAAGUUUUUGGCGCCGUUGCCGGGGAAUACGGCUAAAUUAUCUAUUUAUCCUAAUAUUAAAUUUGAGCAAUUUUUCUUACUUCAGCCGUUUUAUUUAUUUUAUUUAAUUAUUUUCUUUGCUUAUUAUUUUUUUUUUUUUAGGUACUUUUUAUGCGAAGAGAGCACGACACGAGCUUGCUACCUUUUGAUCCCGAAAUUGACCGAACGUUUAGGCACGCGAGGAAAAAUCAACGGUUAGCUCGAAACGUUCCCGCAACAAUGGAAGAAGAAAUUAAUCGUGGGGGAGAUGACCAAGGGCGUCUACCGAAUGCGGCAGGAAAUAUAAUCAACGAGCAAGAGCAACUUCAGCUAAUUAAUCCACCACCUCGUCAACGAGCAUUGCAUAAGUACACCGUUCCAACACUCAAUGGGUUUCAAUCAAGCAUCUAGCAGCCCCCCAUUGAAGCCAACAAUUUCGAAAUUCGAGCGGGACUCCUUACUAUGCUCCAAAACAAUGGAUUGUUCAGCGGAUUAGCUCACGAAGAUCCACAUCUCCACUUGGUCAAUUUUCUCGAGACGUGCGACUCGCAUAAGAUGAACGGAGUUUCACCCGAAGCACUACAACUCCGCCUGUUCAAGCACUCUUUACAAGGUGCAGCCCGGGAAUGGUUACAAACUCGUGCACCGCACUCCAUCUCGUCUUGGCCCCAGCUAGCACAACUCUUUAUGAACACAUACAACUCCCCAACAAAAACUGAGAGAAUCCGGAGAGAAAUACAAAACUUCUUACAAGAAGCCGGUGAAGCGUUGUUCGAGACGUGGGAGCGGUUCAAACAAUUAAUUCGGAGGUGCCCGAAUCACGGACUUCAAGAGUGGCGCCAACUGCAAAUAUUCUAUGAUGGAUUGCAAGAUAAUUCGUGAACGGUGCUCGAUUCAGCAGCUGGCGGUAUGUUCAUGAGCUUGACCUAUGACGAAGCUUACGAACUUUUGGAGCGGAUCGCAAGAAACAAAUACAUGAGGGCAUCGGAUCGGUCAAAUAGCGGAGCCAAUAAGACGGGAGGAAUUUUAGAGUUAGACGGGGUCACCACAAUCACCGCCCAGUUAGAAAAGCUAUCAAAGCAAGUAGCAGCUUUGCAGACUCAGCAAGUCCAUGCAGUCCAAGGUCCGGACCGACGCUUAGAAGAAACGGAGUCUAUAAAUUACGUGAAUGACACCAACCGACAACAGAGGAACCCGUACUCCAACACUUAUAAUCCGGGAUGGAAAGAUCACCCCAACUUUGGAUGGGGAGGAAAUCAGCAGGACAAAGGCCAGCUCCCGGAUUCCAAAAUCCGCCUCAAGCUUCACCCCAAGGAGUUGACCUCGCUGACAUCUUAGCAAAAUUCAUGACAUCGACUCAAGCAUCCAUUCGGAACCUUGAGACACAAAUGGGUCAACUUGCAACCCAGCUAACCGCGAGGCCAUCGGGAGCACUGCCGUCGAAUACGGAAGAUCCUCGAAAGAGCAACAUCGAGCAGUGCAAUGCUGUAAGUUUAAGGAAUGGGAGACAAUUGGAGGAAGCCCCACGAAAAAGGAAGCCCCACGAAAAGAGAAGAGAAGUACGGUAAUCGAGAAGACGAGUGUGAUUGGGGAAAAAAAAGCAACUCACGAAGAAUCACUAUCAUCAACAGUGAAAUCACGAGCCCCUCCAAUUCCAUAUCCUCAAACGUUUCUCAAGAAAAAGCUCGAUGCCGAAUACCAAUGGUUUUUGGACAAGUUGAAGGAGAUUCACAUAAACAUCCCUUUUAUCGAAGCACUUCAAAAGAUGCCAAAGUGGGUGAAAUUCCUCAAGGAUCUCGUGACAAAGAGGAAGAAAUUGCAAGGGAACGAGAUGAUCCAACUCACGGAGCAAUGCAGUGCAAUUCUUACACGGCCCCUUCCACAAAAACUCGGCGAUCCAGGUAAGUUCACUAUUCCUUGUACUAUAGGAGGUAAAAAUUUUAGAUCGCUCAUUGAUUUAGGAGCUAGCAUCAAUCUUAUGCCUUAUUCGACUUAUAAAAAUCUUGGGUUAGGUGAGAUUGAACCGACGGCUAUAACUCUUCAAUUAGCCGAUAGGUCUUUAGUUUACCCAAAAGGUAUUUUAGAGAAUGUGCUAGUAAAAGUGAACAAAUUUAUCUUCCCUGUUGAUUUCGUUAUACUUGAUAUAGAUGAAGAUAGGGAGAUACCUCUUAUUUUAGGGAGACCGUUUUUAGCCACGUCGAAAACUCUAAUUGAUUGUGUAAGUGGUGAUCUUACAAUGACGGUGCAUGAUCAAACGAUCAAAUUUAAUGUUUUUAGUGCUAAUAAAAAUCCAUGUAAUAAUAAUGAUUGUUUUGCUAUUGAUCUUAUGGAUUUUACAAAUCAUGAAAAAUUUGACGUUUCGAUCUUGGACCAUGGGAAAGCAUCUUUGAGUGCAGGAGAUGAUGGCGGAAACGGGAGUCGGAAGGAGCAAGUUAAUUUUAUGAACUCAAUUCAAACUCUUCCGGGAGAUAGUCAAAAGAGUUGGGGUUUUAAAGAUGAUGUUGGCAAGCCUCAUGACAUCAAGAAGAAUAAGCGAACCAGUCGAAAGAAGAAUCGGGUCAACCCAUUUAUUCAAGACUACCUCCAAAAGGAAGUACGGAGAUGGGUUCAAAAGCUAAGGAAUUGAAGAGCAAGAACAAAGUCUGGCUGAAGACUAUAAACUUAGCGCUUCUCGGGAGGCAACCCGAGAUUUUCGUUUUUUUAUUUUAUUUUAUUUAUUUUUCUUGUUUUAUUUUGUUUAUUUAUUUUAUAAGCAUGCAAGCUAAUAAAUUAAACGUGUUUUUAAUUUUUAGGACCAAAAAUCGCAAUUUUGCAGCUCAUACGGCCGUCCCAAAACAAGGCUUAAUUUCACACCGUGUGAAAAAUCUGGAAGCUACUGCCCAAUUUUGGCAAAUCGCACGGCCGUGCGGAAAAUAGUUCAAAAUCUCAUACGGCCGUGCGAAACUCAACAGAAGCAUAAUAAAGGCGAGGGUGGAAGAGCAGCCCGGACACGGCCAAAACGACUUAUUCAGGUGUAUUCUAUCCUUGAACUUCGUGCUAAUUACAUUGAGGGCAAUGUAAAUUUUAAGUUUGGGGGUGAAAAAUUGCUUGUUUUUAUGUGCUUUAAUUUUUUAGUUUGCAUGCCUUUGGAUUUUUUAUUUUUAUUUUAGUUGUUUUAGUUUAUUUAUUGCUUUCGAAAAAAAAAUUGCUUGAGAUAAAUGCUUUGAUGAAUCAUGAUGAUGAAAGAUGGUCGAUGUUUAAUGAUGAAAUUGCUUGUUUUAUCUUGAUUUUGAUCGAAUUUUGGUGAGCUUUUGAUUCAAAGUGUCGUAAGAAGGAGUCAUUGUUAGGAAUCUCGAAUUAUGCGUUGCUUUGGUUGAAAGUUUUGUGUUUUAAAAUUUGAGUUAAUUUAUGUUAUAUCAUAUGUUAUUCGGUUUUAGAACUUGUCUUAUGAAUUUACAAAGUGAAAUAUUAAAUUGUUGAGCAAUUUGGGAAGUGAUUUGGGCCAUCUUUGAACCGUUUGAGCCUUUCAAGCCUACCUUUAAAUUUUUAUCAUUCGAACCUUGAUUGAGCCUUGGAGAAACGGUGUUCUUUCUUUUAGCCAAUGUGUAUAAGGUAGAAUAAGUGGAGAUUUUUGAAAAAUUAACCCUUGGAGUUCGGUCGAAAUUUUUUUAUAAGGUCCUUCUUCUUCGAAAAAAAGAGAGAAAGAAAAUGAAGAAGAAGAGACUAGAAGGGGAAGUAAGGACUAGUUGUUGAAUUGUUUUGAAAGCUCAAUCCAUUGUCUUAAGAGCAAAAGUGGAGACUUUUGAACUCUUAAGAAUCGAGUUUAUUAAAGUCCUUAGAGGUGAAUUCAUUGUUUCAAACGCCUAUCUAUCAAAAUUUGGCGUAAUCAUCUCAAUUCAAGAAGCAUAGCCACCUAUACCCGUAUCUCCUACCUUGAACCAAAAAGCCCAACAUUUGAAAGCAAAAAAAAGUCCCAAUGAUCCCAAUAGCUCAAUUAUUUGAUACUAGCCGAGUAAAGAAAUUUUGUGAGUAUUUGGAGUUGAAUAUUAAUAUGUAAGUAUAAAUUUUGUCAAUUUUUAAUGUACAAAUAUGGAAUACUUGAAGCGAUAGCAUGGUUUGUGGUUUUUAGCAAUGGCGAGUGAAUACGUAUCUUUGAAUUACGAGCUUGUAAAUUUUUGAGGAUUGUCAUGAUAAUUGCAAGUUCUGAAAAAAUGAAAGUUGACCAUUAAUCUAUGUGAUGAGAGGCAUUUGUUGAGAGUGUUGCUGUGAAAGUUGCUAGUUUUUGCUUGAGGACAAACAAAAGAUCAAGUUUGGGGGUGUGUUAAGUAUCUAUUUUUAUACUUUAUCGUACCUUUUUAUUUGAGCUUUUGGUGUGAUUUAACGAUAAUUGGUGCUUAAAAAGUUGAUUUAUUGUAUUUUAGGUAUAAAUUGAAGAAUUGGAAAAGUUUGGGGUCAAAACUGCAAUUUUGGAGAAAAUAUGGGCCAAAAGUGAAAUAAUCAAAAAUAUGAAGAAAUUGGCACGGGACGGCCGUCCCAAAUUUACACCUAAAAAUGGGACGGCCGUGCCAAAUGCAGAAAUUGGGCAGAAGGUUUCGGCGAUUCUCGCACGGCCGUGUGAGAAUUGCACUGAUUUUCGCGCGGCCGUGCCAACACACGCUGGAGACAAUUUUGGACUUUUAAUCACACAAGGAAACCUAAAAUCAUCCACCAAGUUGGGACAUCUAUUUAAGCCCAAACGAAGCACGAAUUAGAGAACUUUUGACACAACCUUGGAGCAAGAGGAGGGAGAGAACGGAAGAACGAAGACGAAGACCUGACGAAUCUUCAUCACAAUUCUUCUUUCACCUAUCUUUUCUUGAAUCUAUGAAUUUUAUUACUUUUAUUAUGUUUUUCGUUAUGCGUAGCUAAGUUUUUAAUCUAGGAUUUUGUUGGAACCCUAUGUGGGGAUGGUGAACCCGUUUUCUUGAGAUUAUGCAAUUAUGAUUUUAUGAUUAUAUUUCUUCUAGUUGUUAUGAUUGUUAGUGCAUGAACUUGAUCAAUUUAUGUGCUUUAUCUGUGAUUAUUGGGAUUGACUCGACAUAGCUAUUUUGAUAAUUAGACGGUAAGUAGAAGAGCCUUCGAGUAGUUUUCACCGGAUGAGUGUGUCAAUUGCAUGUAUUAUCGUAGACAUACAGAUAAUACCUUAGGUAGCCGUUUACGAGACUUGUUAUUUAAUGCUUUAUUUAUACUAGGCUUGCAUAGACAUAUAGUGAAUCUUUUAUGAAUAAUAGACUUAUAAUACAGCGACAGCUGGUUAUGAGUAAUUUCGUGUCUUGGGUUAAUAAUCGGGAAUCGUAACUUGCAUGAUAGAAGAUUAAUUGGGUGAAGAAUUAUCGCAUAGGGGGAAGAUAAAAUCCUAGAUCCGUUUUAUAUUGAUAUUUUCUCGUGCUUAAUUGCUUUCUUAAUUAGUUUAAUUCAUUUAGUUAAUUAAUUUGACAACCCUGCGUAGGCUGGAUAAAAAUCGUAAUUGUUAGAAUUUGGUACUUAGAAUUAAAUAAUUUGCGUAUUCCCUGUGGGAUCGACAUCCGACUCUCACGAGUCUACUUUACUACUUGUUUGCGAUACGUGCACUUGCGUGUUGGUAUUUAGCACCCAACAGUUAACAUGCCCUAAUCGCGCAUGCCAUAGAUCCGAUGUUUCAUGGCUUCGAGUUUUAUCAACAUAGGCUUUUUGAGCUGACAUCACAUAGACGGAUUCUACUUUUCGUCCUUCCAUAAGAGGUGUACCAGUUACCUUGAUCUUUGAAUAUAACUUCACGUCAUUGGGCCCAAAUAAUACAUAAUUUCCCGACGCCGUUAGUUGUGACACUGAGAGUAAAUUCUUUGUCAUACCUGGUACAUGAUAUACAUUUUGCAAGUGUACUUGGCCCGGGCUGUGGCGAGGUGUAACCACUGUUCUACCAACAUGGGUAAUUGGUAGCUUGGAAUUAUCAGCCGUGACUACGACUCUUCCUCCUUCAUAUUUAGACAUGCUCAGUAGUUUUUUCCUAUCUCCAGUCAUGUGAUUCGAACAUCCAGAAUCUACAAUCCAAUCAUCAUCAUAAUUGACCUUUUUCAGGCUUUCCGUGACGAGUGCAGGUUCUUCUUCUAUGCAAGAAAGUGCCAUUGUCUCAACUGGUUCUACGUAUAAUGCUUCGACGGCAAACGAUGCUUGAAAAUCCCAUUCUUCUUCGCUCUCAUUUUGAGGGCAUAAAGAGGUCGCUAUAUUUCCUUCCUCCCGUUUAUAUCGGCAAUCUCGUGCAUAGUGAUUAUUCCUCCCACAGUUGUAACAUUGAUUAUUUUUGCGACGUAAUAUCUUUUCUUUUGAUUCAGUUUGGCCCUGUAGUCCUCCCCCUUGCCGUGGACUUCUUUCUUGUGGUCUUCUAUCCCACCUUCCUAGGUUUUCAUUAGAUCCAUCGUUGUUAUAUCUAGCACUUCUUUGCUCUUUUUGGCUAUAUCUUCUUCCACUGAAGAGAGCCUUCUCUUCGUCAUUGAUCGAGGUUUUAGACAUUUGUUUAUCUAAGGCCUCUUGAUUCGCCAAUAUAUUCUCCAACUCAUUUAAUGAUGGUUCUUGAGCCCAUUCGCGAGUUGCCGUAACCAAACCAAGGAAUUCGGGCCGUAAACCAUGAAUAAUAAUUCUUCUUAUCCUCGUCUCAGUAAUUGAAUUUUGAGAAUCUAGCUUCGAAAUUUCUGAGCAUAAAGAUUUUACUUUGGUAAAGUACUCACUUACCGACGAGUCAUGUUGCGAGAUCGACAACAACUCAUUCUCGAGCUGCUGUAGCUUGGCGUCAUUUGUUCGAGCAAAUAUACCAGAGAGAGUAUCCCAUGCUUCCUUUGGUGUUUUUGCAUCUUUGAUGCGGUGCAGUAAGUCAUCCUCCACGGCAACUGAGAGAGCAUACAUUGCUUUUCCGGCUCGAACCUUCCAUUUCUUUAGUUCUUCUUCUUCGGUUGGUGGUUGAGUCUCGCCUCCUCCAACAAUACUCCAGAGAUCUUGUCCAAGCAAGUAAAAUUGCAUACGGAUGCUCCAUGUAUUGUAAUUGUUGUUAUUCAAUUUUUCGAUUCCAUUUACCGACGUCGCCAUAUCUGUCAUUGUAACGUAGUGAAUCCUAACCAAGUAAGCUCGAUCCCUGAUCUAUUAGCUUCACAGUCCCUGACUGCUUUUUGACGGCACUUGGACGUGGCAAAGUAUUGUAAGCAGCACCUCGAAGACGAUCCCAGAAAGCCUGCUCUUGAUACCACUUGUAGAGAAAUAAGAUAAAAUAAUACACUUUUUGAUUACUGCAAUUUUCUCUUUAUUCCACAUUACAUUGGCCUCAUGCCUAUUUAUACAUAAUAAAGGCGGUGGUUUGGGAGCACUAAUUAAAUCCACCAACCUAAUUAAUGUUAUAAUUAAAAUUAGUUGGCCUAAUGAAGCUUCUAGUGAAAAGACUUCUGGAGAGUUUUCUAGAACAAUGGAGUUCUUGCUAAUCUUAACAUCUACCAUAUCAUUGAUUCUUCAAAAGGUUAGUCGUUAAAUUUUUAUAUCUAUCGAAAAUACUAAUAUUUUAGUCAAUCCCCAUUCAGGUAAAAAGGAAUUGAACAACCUUAAACUUUUUAGCAUUAGAUUUGAAUUAAUAUAUAUAUAUAUAUAUUUUUAUAAUUAUAAUUUCAUCAUACAGUGAAUAUUACCAAAGAUAUACUCGGUAUAUAUGCAUACAUUCUCCUAUAAAACAAUAGAAAUAGACAAUAUAGAUAAAUGGUUGAUAACACAUAUAAUAGGAUCAUAUAAGUUGCGUUUGGAUGAAACAGUUUGAAUUUGCUACAACAGAGAUAGAUUUUAGGGUUAAUAGCAUUUUGCCACCUGUACUUUGCCCCUUUUUGCACUUUGCCACCUUAACUAAAAAAAGUUGCACAGGCACACCCAAACUUUCAUUUUUGACGCACAUAACCACCUGGGGCGAAUAUUCCGACGAAUCUUCUCAUAUUCCGGCGCACGUGCGUUGCACAUGCUUAUUUUUGGGUUUUUUAGUCUUUUCCACUCCAAAAAUUAGUGUGUAUGUUAUUUUCUCUCUUUCUUUCUCCUUCUCUCUCUUUGUCUCUCUCCCUCAUACGCACACACAUACACACAUUUAUUCUCUAAUAACUGAAUAUUUCUACUCAUGAAAUUUAAUUUGAUGCUUUCUGGAAUUCACUUUGAACUAUGAUUCUCUCUUUCAUAUGAGUUUAUCUCUAAUAAGUUUGACUUGGAGAACAUUGUUAACCAUUUCUUUUUUUAAUUCCUUGUCUUGGUCAAGAAUUUUUGUUUUUACGAUUGAUGCUCUGGUUCUCCAAAAAAAAGAAUUCAUCAUGAGCAAGAAUUUAUUCACAUUUCUCAUCACAAAGGUUAUGAUUUAUUUGUUUCUUUACUCCUUGAAUAUUAAGCCCAACAAAAAUUGGAAAGAAAUCGAAAAUAUUCGGUUUUCCAAACAAAUCAACAAUCUUUGGUGCCACGACCAGAAACUCAGACGCAAUUCCUUCAUCCUCUUCACCUAUAGACUUCCCACCCCACAACAUGUUCAUCAUGACCUUUAGUUUGGUUCAGAAAAUCAAGGGCCCAAUUUCGACGGAUUUUUCAUCAUGGUCCUUGCUAAGAUUAUAGAACGAGUCGAGACCUUUGAUGUUCAUCAUCUCUUGAGCGAAUGCUUUUCUCAUCGCUCGCCACUUAUUGUUUGCACCAUAAGUGGCAACAAUUGCUACAGGAAUGUCCCGAUGAGUGAAAAUGGAGUCUUGAUCUCGAACCACCUCUUUUACAGCACACCUUUUGUCCUAAGAGAAAUCCUGAAUAUUGUACCAUAUUUGUGCCUCAAAUCUGUGAACUUUUGAAAUAAAUUGUUGCCAAGAAAUGAAAAAUAUCCGAGGAUUGGAAUCCCAAGGGGACCUGGUGGCAAGGGAGGAUUUUUAUUUCCGCUUCGUUUGUACGAGUGUGCGUUUGAGAAAAAGAAAGAAAGGAGAGAGAAAGAGAGAGAGGAGAAAGAAAGAGAGAAAAGAACUGGGCCCACAAUUUUUUGGAGUGGAAAAGACUAAAAAGUCCUUACAUUAGGCAUGUGCAACGCGUGUGCGCCGGAAUAUGAGAAGAUUCGUCGGAAUAUUCGCCCCAGGUGGUUAUGUGCGUAAAAAAGUGUGCCCGUGCAACUUUUUUUAGUUAAGGUGGCAAAGUGCAAAAACGGAAAAAGUACAGGUGGCAAAAUGCUAUUAACCCUAGAUUUUAUUAUAGGGUAAAUUACGAAAACUCCCUGAACUUAGGCUAAAUAAGGAAAAAAAAACCCACCUAUUCGUAAUUACCAAAAACCCAUGAGGUUUGUUUCCGUCUUACACCAACCCUUUACAGUGUGAGUUUUCACGUAUUUUUUUUUUAAUUCCAAGAAAUAGACUUUACACUAUUGCACAUAUUUUCUUUUAUUUCUCACCUAUUUAAUAAAAGGUAUAAUAGAUUGUACAAAUUUUCUGUUAAAAAACUCGGUUAACAGUUAAUAAGAGGGGGAUUUCGGUUAUUACGGAUAGGUGGUGGUGUUUUUCGUUAUUUAUCCUAAGUUCAGGGAGGUUUUCGUAAUUUACGCUUUAUUAUAUUACAAAUUAAUUUAUUUGAUUACUGAUCAAUGAAUUUGAUAUUAUGGAUUAAAAAAAAAUUAGCAUCCGAAAUCAUUGAACAUUCUCCUUUAUUACAGGUGUAUUGUCUCAAGAGCCGUAGGCUAAUUGAUCACGAGAGAAAUUACAUCGACAUUGUUUGCAUCAAGGAAUCGGAGGAACGUACUUUCAGUUUUGAGAUGGACAAAUCAAAGCGUGUUUGGAUAUUUUGUUAAUGUUAUUUGGUGUGUUUAAUUUUUCUUGAUUGAGUUUUAUUACAUCCUCAUCAGUUAUAUGUUGUGAGGUUAAAACUUAAAAUUAAGACUAUUGCGCAAUUAAGAAAGCGCGAGUGUGUCGCACAUAUUGUUGAAUGUACAAGUUUUACCCGUCUCUGCCAAAAACAUGUACGCAAAGAUAGUUACAUAUACAUACGAUAACCGAAGUAUAAAGAACAUAUAUGCAACAGUAAGCCAUAUUUUCCAUCGGAAAAAGCCGUGUUGAGUCUCUUGAUUUCAUAUUUCAAAGAACUAAAAAGCCAUCUGUUUCAUUACUUGAAGUUAGGUGUAAAAAACUCCCCUUUGACAGUUUUCGCGGAGCAAAAUCUCACCUUAGAAAACACAUUGCAAAUUAUGAAAAGAAAAUCGAGGAAUGUUAAUGCAGCCUCGAAACACAAUAUCAAACAUCAAACAAAACGAGCAAUGGGGGGUGUCUUUUGCUUAUUUAUGAAAUUCCUCUUAAAAUUCUACAUUUACAUGAAUGGGGGUAUCUUUUAUGGUCAUGUGCGGUGCACAUGCUAUUUUCCGUCCAUACUAACUAGACAAACGGACAGAGGGACAAAAACAACAUAAAAGUGUCAUGUUUAGUGACGUAAAUUGUAACUUCAUCUUGCUUAGGGACGAAAAUAGAAUACGUUGUAUAGUAUAGAAAUUGCUAGUUUUUAUUCAAUACAUGUUCAUGGUUUAACGAAAAGGAAAAAAUGUCCAUUUAAAAUUUGUUCAUUAAAAUAUUUAACUAAUGAAUGUGAAAAAAAAAAAAAAAAAAAAACCCUAUCUACUUAUUUUUGUCUCUCUUUAAAUAAAUCUAAAUAAAUCCUAUUAGUAUUAAAACGGGAAUGAAAAGUUUUUCUUUUUUUCGCGGAAUAAUUGUUUUUUAAUAAAUUAAUUAUUUUAAUUUUAAAACCCAACAAUAAAUUAUACAUAAGAAUAUAUUUUGAGUAUUGAGUGUGGCAUUAAAGAAGACACUGCAGUAAAAAAAUUCAAUCUUGCCAAAUUGAAUAGAGUAUUACAAUAUUAUCCCUUGUAGACUUCAGCAUUAAGUUUUGUGUAUAGUGGACCAAGUCAAAUGAAUAAUACGUGUUGUUUACUAGUUAAUAGUUAGCCGUUUGUUUAUAGGUGGCAUCAUGCAUGUGCAUGGAUUUCUCUAUAUAUAACUUGAGCUUGUAAUGUAAAUAGAUCAUAUCAGAUAAUAGUUUUGCUAAAGAUUCCUAUAAACACCACUUUCGAUAUUUUGUUAUACAGUAGAUGCUUUCAAUUCUCACAAACAUAUUUAUGUGCUUGUAUUGUACGAGACCAGUUGGUUCUUGUUAAAUUGUAAAGCUAAUUACUGUUCUUCAAUAUAUUAUAUACAUAUUUCGUUCUAUAUUUUAUAUUUCACAACACGUUAUCAGCACGAGCUUUUGCUCUACAAAAUUAUAGGUUUGUAAAAUUUAUCUUCUUGUUGUACCAUUUCUACUUAUUUUAUUUUACGAUGGCCGAAAUCGAAAAACAAAAAUUUCAAAUCCUUGAUGUUACCGGCAGUAAUUUUUUAUCCUGGUGCUUAGAUAUCAAAUUACACCUCCAAGGGCUAGAUCUUGUAAAAGCCUUGGAUUGUGUAGAUAUCAAGGAGGCAAACAGGAAAGAUGAGGCAAAUGCUAUGAUUUUUAUCCGCCAUCAUCUUUCUGAGGAUUUGAAAGACGAAUAUAUACAACUUGAAAGGCCAUCAGAGAUAUGGCAAAAACUCAAAGAAAUGUUUGAUCACACAAAAACUGUGAUUCUCCCACAGGCCCAAUAUAAUUGACAGCACCUAAGGCUGCAGGACUUCAAAUCUGUUGCCGACUAUAAUUCGGCACUGUUUAAACUUGAGUCUCGAUUAGCCUUGUGCGGAGUUAAAAUAUCUGAAUAUGAUAAAUUGGAAAAAACUUUUUGCACUAUGCAUGCCUCGAACUUGGUGCUCCAACAGCAAUAUAGGCAGCGCCAGUUUAAAACAUAUUCGGAGUUGAUCUCUGUACUCCUCACAGCAGAAAAAACAAAUGAAUUGCUGUUGAAAAAUCAUGAUUUACGACCAUGUGGGUCCCAAGCUGUGCCUGAAGCACAUGCUAAUCAAACUAGAAAUAUGGGCCGAUUUAGAGGCCGUGGGCGUAAAUUUUGGCGUGGUGCACGCAGAGGUGGUGGACGCGGUCCCCCUCAAGAUGCCCGAAAUAAUGACCGAGGUGGAUAUGAAUAUCGCCGUCGAAAUAAUAAUAAUACGGUCUGGCAGAGACAACCAUUUCAGGCAAAACGCGAUAAAGGCAAGAUGCCCGCGGAGAGAAUUCCAGAAAAUGUGUGUAUUAGAUGUGGAAUGACUGGACACUGGGCCAAAGUUUGCAGAACCGCCCAACAUCUGGUAAACCUGUACCAGGACUCAAAAAGAGAUAAAACAAAAAAUGUCCAGACACAUGCCACUGAGGCAGAAAUGCCACUUGCUGUUCUUGAAGCCAGCACAUCUGGGAGCAUCCUUGAUCAAGAUCCUGCUCAAGAUGGAGCCUCUCUUGAGUUAUCAGAUUUCUUUACAGAUCUUGAUCCUCUUGUGUAAAUUGCCAUAUGAGCAUCUAUUUUGAGUUAUUUUGUACUCACUAUGUAUACUUUGUAUAUAUCUCUCUGAUGAUGUAGUACCCGAGAUUGAGCUAGUUUGUCUUUUGAUGUAUCCAUGUACAUAUCUCCCUUGGAAGUUAUGUUCCCGAGGUCGAGCUGAUAUUUUGACUAUGUAUAAAAUUAUGAGUUUGUUAUUAUAUCAUUUGCAAACUAUACUACGAUUCAAUAUUAAUUUUAUGUUAUUUAAUUCAGGCAAACAUGGAGAACAUCGACAAAAGAGAAAAUUGCCUACUCGAUAGUGCAACUACACACUCAAUAUUCAAUAAUAAAAUAUAUUUCUCGAGUGUGACUUUGUGCAAGGCACAAGUUAAAACCAUUGCAGGUUCCGCGGAAAUAAUAGAUGGCUCCGGGAACGCAACAAUUGUGUUGCCUAAUGGUACCACUUUGCAUAUUGAAAAUGCAUUGAUAUCAGGUAGAUCAAAUAAGAAUCUACUGAGUUUUAAAGAUGUGAGACGUAAUGGAUAUCAUUUAGAGACACUGGUUGAAUAUACCGUGGAAUGUCUCUGCAUCACAUCAUAUGUUAUGGACAAAAGAAUUGUUCAUGAAAAACUCGAAGCGACAGCUUCUGGAGUGUAUUGUUUCGAAAUUAGAGCUUUCGAAUCCUAUGCCACUAUGCCAUGGAAACUUGUUAAUCCCGAUAUACACGGGUUAUGGCAUGAUCGACUGGGUCACCCAGGAACGACAAUGAUGCGUAGGAUUGUACAACAUACUAAGGGACAUCCAUUAAAAGAUACAAAGAUCUUAAUGUCCAAUGAAUAUUUUUGUGAAUCAUGUUCACAAGGAAAGCUCAUUAUAAAAACUUCCAUCGAAAAAGUCGAUUAUGAAUCACCAUCGUUUUUACAACGUAUUCAUGGUGAUAUUUGUGGACCAAUACACCCUGCAAGUGGGCCAUUUAGAUAUUUUAUGGUUUUGGUGGACGCAUCUUGUAGAUGGUCCCACGUAUGCUUAUUAUCUACGCGAAAUGUUGCAUUUGCGCGUUUGCUAGCACAAAUUAUUAAACUCCGAGCACAUUUCCCUGAUUAUCCCAUUAAAAACAUAAGAAUGGAUAAUGCCGGAGAAUUUACAUCAAAAACUUUUGAUGAGUAUUGUGCAGCACUGGGAAUAAAUGUCGAGCACCCAGUAGCAUACGUUCACACUCAAAAUGGACUGGCGGAAUCUUUGAUUAAACGCGUCCAAAUAAUUGCUCGUACUUUGCUGAUGAGAUCUAAACUUACUAGUGCAGAAUGGGGCCAUGCAGUAUUGCAUGCAUCAGCACUGAUUAAAUUACGCCCCACUGCUUAUCAUAUGCAUUCCCCAAUGAAAUUGGCAUUAGGCUUUGAGCCCGAUAUUUCGCACCUUCGCACAUUUGGUUGCGCUGUGUAAGUGCCAAUUCCUCCUCCUCAGAUGACUAAAAUGGGUCCCCAACGCCGACUUGGCAUAUACGUUGGGUUUGAUUCACCGUCGAUUAUUAGGUUCUUAGAACCAAUGACGGGUGAUUUAUUUACCGCUAGAUUUGCGGAUUGUCAUUUUGAUGAGACAUUAUUUAUACCGAUUGGUAAGGAUAUUCAGAAUAUCCGUGAUAAUGAUAAACAAAAACCAAUCGAGAAUCUCACAUGGUGUGAGCAACGCUUAUCUCAUCUCGACCCACGUACCUCUGAAUGUGAAAAUGAGAUCCAUAGAAUCAUUUAUUUACAAAAUAUUGCCAAUAGACUUCCUGAUGCAUUUAAUGAUGCAAGUAAAGUUACGAAGUCUUAUAUUCCAGCUGUGAAUGUUCCAGCUAGGAUCGCUGUUCCUGAAGAACAUGCGAAAAUGAAUGAUGAUCCCCCACGACAAAAAUGGGGUACACCUAUUGGAUCAAAGGACGUUGUUCCUAGAAAAAGAAAGGGGAAAAUCGAUGAACCCUCGAACCAAGUGGUUCUUACUGAGAAUGCUCCAGAUGAAUCUGUUGAGCCUGAUAUUGAAAAAACGAUAUCAAAUCCCGGGAAUACCGAGAAUCCCAUAAGUUAUUGCAAUGAAAUAUGGGAUAGAAAUGAGAUAAUCAUCGAUAAUAUUUUUGCAUUCUCGGUUGCACAAGAAAUUAUGUACGAUGAUUAUGAUAGUGAACCGCGUUCCAUAAUGGAAUGUCGCCAAAGAAAUGAUUGGCCUAAAUGGGAGAAAACAAUAAAAUCUUAAUUGGCUUCCUUAGAAAAACGGAAAGUAUUCGGGCAAAUCGUUCAAACUCCGGAUAAUGUAAAGCCCGUUGGGUAUAAAUGGGUAUUUGUCCGUAAGAGAAACGAGAACAAUGAAAUUGUAAGAUAUAAAGCCCGCCUUGUAGCUCAAGGUUUCUCCCAGCGACCUGGGAUUGAUUAUGAUGAGACGUAUUCACCAGUGAUGGAUACGAUCACUUUCCGUUUUCUUAUAAAUAUGGUCGUCCAAGAGGGACUGGACUUACGUCUAAUGGACGUUGUAACGGCCUAUUUAUAUGGUUCACUAGAUUCUGAUAUCUUUAUGAAAAUUCCCGAUGGAUUUAAAAUGCCAAACUCCGGCGCUCCUCGUAAUCUGAUUUAGUAUUUACACAUAAAUAUUUACAUGUAUAUUAAUGAUUCUACGAACAUAAGUACAUUAACUAUACUAAGAAAAAUAUUAUUUUAGAUCAAACCCUUAAUUUUAGUUUAUUGUAUAACCUACAUUUGUUCAUAAAAAAAUAUUCUUUAAAGCGGCUUAAUCCCACUUUGCACCCUUGAAAUGGGGCAUUUUUGCACUUUACACCCUCAAAACACAAUAAAUCAUUCACAAUGCACCCUUAGUUGAAUAAUAAAGGAUAAUUCAUUUUUUAUUGAGUUUUGUUUUAUCUGUGUGCAAUUGUUAUUUCUUCAAUUCCAAUCUAAUUUCGAGUGUACAAAGUGCGAAAAAUAAAAAUCACACCGUAUAAUUGAAAAAAAAAUUAUAUUUUAUGACAAAAUAAAAUUAAAUAAACCUUUAUCACUAAAUUAUUCGAUCGAUAGACCUUUUAUUCUAAUUGACGGAAAUAUUAUGUAGAAAUAUUUGAAAGAAAAUAUGAUUUUUAGAUAACUUGAUAACGAAGUAGAAGGAUUUUUUUUCGUAAAAUAUUUUUGUGAUAAAAUUAUAAUUUUUAAAUACCAUACCACUAAAAAUAUUAAAUUACAUUUAUUAGCUUUAAAACCUCAUAUGCAUGAUAUAUUGUGUUUCGUGAGUGCAAAAUGCUAUUAAUCUUUUUGUUUCUACCAAGUAUUUUAAUCAAUUACAAUAUAAGACCAAAUAAUUUAGUGACAAAAUUUUGAAUUUAUCUUUUUGUAAGAACAUACAUUUUUUUAAGUAAUUCGGUGUGAUUUUCAUUUUCGCAUUUAUGAUCGAAAUUCGGUUGGAGGUAGAAGAAAAUAACAAUUUAAUUUGUUAUUUUGCACCCUGGAAAUAAAAAAAAAAAUUAAAUUGACCUCGUUAAGUUUAAAUUAUUCAAUUCAGAGUUCAUUGUGAAUGAUUUAUUUUGUCUCGAUGGUGCAAAGUGCUAAUAAUUCUUUCAAGGAUACAAAGUGUCAAAUGCUAUAUUUCAAGGGUGCAAAGCGAGAUUAAACCUUCUUUUGGUCGAAUUUGGUGCAUUGGAUGGAUGUAGGAAAUGCCUUUUUUUUCUUUUUUUUUCUCUUCUUCGUCAGCGAUAAUUAUGUAAAAACAAAAAAAAAAUGAAAUAUUUUUAUUCCAUUUGACAAAGCUUUUCUCUCGGAUUGACACACCUUAAUGUUAUAUAUAUGGACAAGUCAAAUUUUUUAUUCAAUUCCAUUUGGAUGAUGUUUGUAAUUAAGAAACUUAAAAAGGAAAUAAAUAAAUGAAAGGAUUUAAUGAAAACCUCUUUUUCGUCCAACAUCAGUGUUGAAUGUCGAUGAUGUCGAGAAAUUCAAUAUCAAUUACAGCUCCGGUCUGUAUUUCUUUAUCACUUUUGCCUCGUGAAACCCCAUCAAUGGAAUCAGAGUUGCGAUUAACCAAACAGACCAAAUUCAACUUUAUUGCUCGAUAUCAAAUAGCCUCGGAUCAAGUUAUAUAUAAUCAAUUUCAAUAGGUGAAUUAGAUUAAAAAAAAAAUAGAAGCAACAUAUGAGAGCAAUAUGACUGCAUGUAAAAAUUACUGCAUGAUUCGUCAAGAGAGUGUGAUUUUUGAUGUGUAGAAUAUAUAAAUUGUCGUCUUUGUCUAUCGAACUAUGGAUGAAAGACGAUCUUACCAUGCUCAUAUUUAAGCAAAAACAUAUUUUUUCUAAUAUAAUUGCAGUCAUAUUUCAAAGAAUGCUAAUUCAAGAAUGUUAAUUCAGGGUUACAUAGAUACUUGUCUAAUGACAAGACAGUGAAGAGUCUCUGGAAAUUAUGACUAAUAUGAGAAGGAGAUGUUUCAUCUUACUUUUAGUAACCUCUAAUAUAAAUUGGUAUAAUUAAUAGCUCAAUCAAUGUGUGUUAGUGCAUUGGGAAUGGGUUGAAGAAAUAGAUCAACCGUAUGCAUAUUUGAUUAUAACUAAUUAGUAAUAUUACAUAGCUAUCCUUCAAAUAUGCCUAUGUAAAGGGGCAUUUUUGUCGUUACAAAAAAUGGAAGAAACCCACUAUCAUUCAUACUUUUAUAGAUAGUAUAGAAGUAUAGAUAUAGAUAAUUCGAAAUUACUAGUGGAGGCAUGAAAAUAGCAAAAAUUACGAAACAACUAUUUUAUAAUAGGAGUUAAGUGCGAUUCAUACCGGUAACGAGUUUAAAAGGAAAUAGUUAGGUUUCAUAUUACAUCACCAAAAGAAAAUAACCAAAGGACUUUAGCAUCGUUCAUAGGUCCUCGUACAACUCCCAAAAAAAUCCCGAGCAAGACCUCGAUUCGCUACUCGAUCCAUCCCGGUUGAGGGUUACUAGCACUACUACCUGCAAUUAAAAGACAUCUAUAUGAGCUAUAAAGCUCAGUAAGAAAUCCGAUGAAAUAUCGAACUUUGAAAAUACGUUAUACAUAAUAUAUAAUAUUAUAUAUCCAUUCUUACCCACAUUCCAAACCACAACACAAGACAAUCGGUAAAAUCACAUAACUCACGAAAACACAUCAUUCGCGCAAAAUCACGUACUUAUGCAAAAUGACUAAAAUGCCUUUUUUUAUGAAAAUUGUGAAAAACACAUUUUUCGUGUUAUCGGAUCCGUGAAAGAUUAAUUUAUGUACCUGGAUAAUAAACCUGUUACGAGCCCAUUUUCACUAAGUGGAAUCAAACCACAACACAUGAUCCUAGUUGGAUACCGGCCCUCUAUAUCCAAGUUGUUUAUUACCCAAUAUUCCAUUAAUCUUUCAAUUUGAAAACCAUUAAAUGCAACUUUUCAAAAUCAUGCUUAUGACCCACACAUAACAUCACAAAUAUCAAUCAAGUGCCACCAAAUCACACAAAUAUCACAAUUCACCACAUAUUUAUAAUUUGGGCAAAAAUCCCCAAAUUCACACAUAUAAACACACAACCACACACGGCACACACCACAUGCACAUUCAGCACACACACACUCACACAUAUUCAGCAUACACACAUGCAGCCAACACAUUAAACAUCACCAUUUAACAUUAAACCAUUCUUGUAAAGCAAGCACCCCUUUUUCACCUUUCAUUUAAUGAAUUAAUUACCACUUCUAGGUAAUAAUCCAUUCCAAUAAAUUCCAGCAGUAAUAAACACAUCCAUGCAGCCAUUUAAGGUAUAAAAUCUCAAAUCUCAUCCCUCAUAGUUAUUUAAUUAAAGAUAUGAAAGUAAAGGCACAAACAUAAUAAAUGACAUGCAAAAUGUCCUAAUUCCGAAAUAAUAGCAAACUAAUUCCAAAAAUUCUCAAAUUAAAUCCUAGAACUCCAAACUGAUCCAAAUUCCAGAUUCUGAAAUUUAUUUUAAAUUUGCACAAAGUUUCAAAUUUUCUUGAAAUUAAAAACUAGAAAAUUGCCUUUUUCUUUUAAAAAUUCAAAACUCUAAUAUAACCUCAAUUACUUUGAAAACCUUUGUAAAGAAAAUUUUCCCCAUUUAAUACUUGCUGGAAAAAAAGAUUCAAACUUUACAAAUGAAGAUUUUUCGGAAAUUGCAGUUUUGACCCCAAAGUUUCAAGAUUUAUACAUGCAACCACACUAGAAGUUCAAAAUCCACUUUUUCGUGAAAAACCCCUAACAAUCUGAAAUUUUACUUUACUAAAUGCAGAAAACAAAGUUAAAAAGUUACUUUAUGCAGAAAUUUCGAAAAUUAUAUAUUUUACCCCAACAUCUCUAGAUCUAUGCAUGCAAGACCACUAGAAGUUCAAAAAUCACUUUUUCUUACAAAAUUUCUUUAAAUCCGAAAUUUUUGUUCGAUAAAUGCUGGAAACCAGUUUUGAAAACACAUUUACGACAGACUUCUCAAAAAUUACAGAUUUGACCCAAAACUUCUUAAGAUACACAUGCAACCCCAUAAAAGUUCAAAAUUCAUUUUUCUUGAAACCCCUUUUUGAAAUCCGAAAUUUUCAAUGCUUUUGGCCAACAAAAGUUGUAUUUACCCACUUACAACAUAGAUGAUGCAUGCAAGAACAAGAAAUCAACAUUAAACACCUCUUUUCCAUUUUUCCCCAAAAAGCCCUAAAUUUUCAAAAUCACUCCCAAUCUUUUAAAUUUUUUUUUGAAAACUAUUUUAAUACUAUUGAUGCCAUUUAAUUGCAGCACGAAAUCGGAAUUUCUUACCUUAAAAUCGAAGAGAAGAAAACAACCGAAGGAAGAUAGGCUUUCAAGCACUGAAAUCUAACCAAGCUACUUUGAUUGUGAAUGAAAUAGUGUGAGCUUCAAGGAGGGAUGAGUUGUCAUCUCCCGUAAGGAGGCAAGUAGUUUUGAUGGUGUUUUUGGUGUAGUCUAUAGCAAGGGUUAAAUAGGGGACCUUCAUUUUAUUUUUGGGAUUUUCUUGAAAAUGGGAGUUUGAGGUGGAAGAAGAAGAAGGCCGAUGGUGGUGGUGGUGAUGAAUUCGGUGAAGAGAGGAUGAGGAGACAAGUAAGGUGUUGAGGUGUUGAAAGGGAAAAUAUGAAGGGUGUCUCUUCAUCUUACUAAGUAGGGUGGAGUGUGGGAUUAGUACUAAUCAUGGUUAAAUGCCAAGUGGAAAGGCAUGCAAUAUUUCUUAAUUUUAUUUAUUUAAAUUAAAGCACAACUUGCACUCUCACACACACAUUUUCGGACAUAUAUAUAUACUCAAAUAUAUAUAAUGCAUGUAAUAGUAUGUAUAUGUGUAUAUCUAUAUGCAUGCACAAAAUGUACAUAUCUAUGCAUGUGUAUAUAUAUAUAUAUAUAUAUAUAUAUAUAUAUAUAUAUAUAUAUAUUUGUAAUUCACAUAAGUUAUCAAUCACAUUUCAAAAAUAAUUUACCAAAUAAUCAAGGCACGUAAUUAUUCAUAUAAGUCACGUAAUUCACGAAAUUCCUAGAAUUUCAAUUUACCGGAAUGAUACUAAAUCGCGCAAUUCACACAUAUAUAUCUACUCACGAAUUUCACAAAAUGAAAUCACCCCAUUCCAAUAAUUAAAUAACGCAUGUAAGUAUUCACGUAAGUCACAUAAUUAGAUUUACGUAAUGCAGAUAAUUAAUAUCAUGAAAUAAUAUUAUCUAAGGAUUCUUGAGUUAGAAAUAUUAGUUUCGGGUUUUAGGGUUUUCGGAUUUUGGAAAGGUGGGGUGUUACACCACUCUCUUUAUUUGCUGGAAAUAUAUUUAGAAGCAAAAGAUUUCUUUUAUAUUCUAUCUUUGGAAGAAAUUCCUUUAUUCAAAAAUCAAACCUGCUUUGGAUUGAAGUUUGGCUGAUUGAGACUCUAUCUCUUUAUUUUGGAAACCCUUCAAUCACUUUGCAAUCAACCAAUCAAAGAUUUAUAAUAAUUGUUGUCUGUCCGGAAGAUGCUCACUUCUGCCGGAAGUUGUUCUGCUGAAAUUUAUUUAUGUUGAAGAAAGUUUUGUUCUUGAUUUCAAAAUUCAAAUGCUUUCCUAUUUGAGCUGAUCUAAUUGAGUCUAAUCAAUCAUAACCUCAAUCAAGUCAAUCAAGAAAAUCAAGAUUGAUGUUUUUCAUUCAGAAGAUAGAGGAGCUCACCUAUAAAUAGUGAUCGAAGUCAUUCAAGUAAUGUACGGAAGUGAAAUUCGAAAAAGAGCUGAAAAGAGUUGCUUGCUGAAAAUUUCAAGUCCUACCUCUCGUUGUUCAUUUGAGUCCAUAUUUUGAGUGAGGAAUUUUUUAGCUAUUAGUUAGCGCAUUCAAUUCAUAUUGUGAGGGUAAUAAGCAGGUUGCCCCUAAACUAAGGGUUGAUUUGCACUUCGCCCCUUUGUUUGGGGGACAAAAUGCAAAUCAACCUUAAUUUAGGGUGCAAACUGCUUUUUACCCUUCUUGUUAUAUUCUUGCUCAAGUUAUUUUUAUAUGCUCAACUCUUGAGACCUUCAUUCUUAUCAAAAAGUACUGAAUAUAACUGAGCCGCAGCACAUUCUUAUAUAAAUGUGAAAAUUACACUUUUCAUCCCUCCAGUACAUGAAUUUAACAUUUGGUCCCCCAUGUUCAAAAAAACAUAUUUGACCUCUCAUGUUUCAAUAAUUUAAUACUUUUGAUUCUUUCCGUCAAAUUUAUGUUAGUACUAACCGAAUCAAGCAUGUGUCUUAACUGACAGACUGACGGUAAAUUGAGGGAAAUGACUAAAAAGUCAAAUUAUUAAAACAUGAGUGACCGAAUGUGUUUCUUGUGAACAUAGUGACCAAAUACAAAAUCAAUGCAAACUUGAGGGACGGAAAGUGAAAUUUUCCCAUAUAAGAAUGAAGCACUUGCAGAAGCCAUUAAUCUUAAUUAUUUUCUGAAAAUUAAUGCUUACUUGCAGUGAGGCAUAUGAUAUUACCAACAGCUUAAUCAUCUCCCAAAAUGGUCGGAAAUUAUAUAUAAACCGAAAAGGAGUAGUAUAUUAAUAGGAAAAAAAACAGUUCUGUCCCUCAAGUUUACACUGAUUUCACUUUUGGUCCUCAAUGUUUACAAAAAACACAUUUAGUCCCUCAAGUUUCAAAAAUUCAAUAUUUUUUAGUCAUUUCCGCCAAUUUUCCGUCAGUACUAACGGAAUCAAUCAUGUGUACAUCACUGCCUUAACUGCCGGACUAACGGUAAAUUGAUGAAAAUGACCAAAAGUGUUAAACUAUUAAAACAUGAGGGACCAAAUGUAUUUUUUGCUAACAUAGAGGACCAAUUAUAAAAUCAGAGCAAACUUGAGGGAUGAAAACUGUAAUUUUCGCUGUAUUAAUAUAAUGAAGAAUAAUACAAUAUCACAACCUGUAACUAAGAUAAGUUAUAAUUAAUGGCCAACUUGGAUUAAUAUGUAAAUAUUAUUUCAUAUAGUUGACUCUUUUGCACAUCUUUCCAGAGAAAUAACUUCACAAACAUAUGUUUAUGAAGAAGACUUCUUUUUUACACAGAGAGAAAGAGAGAGAGAUGGCUUAUGGUGCUGUUUGUUGUCUUGAGCUGACAAUUGAUCGCCUUUUGAAAUCAUCACACAUUUCCAUUAAUGUUCAAAAUUCAUCCCAUCAAAUCUUAAAGCAUCUGUACGAUGAGAUUCUUUCCUUAAAAGAAGCUCUCGGAGAAUUCGAUAAAAGGAGGAGCACCAUUAACAUGAAGAUGGUCAAAACUUUGGAGGCAGAAAUCAUAGAUGCAAUAUACGAAUUCGAAGAUGUAAUUGACUCCCAUCUCUCAAAUCAGUUUCAUUCACCACAAUCUGAAGAAGAGACUGAUCAUCCUAGAUUAAUGUUAUUCUCAGUAGACCUGCAUCAAAUAAAGCAAGAUGUCGAUUCCGUUAUCGAAACGGUGAACGAGAUGAAGAGGGCCUACAUUCACGAGUUGUGCAACCCUUCGCCCGAAGACGAAGACGAUGUUGUGCCGUCAAUAAAUUAUUUUGAUGGACAUAAUGAGUCUAACAUGGUUGGGUUAUCUCGUUUAUUUACGAGAAUCAAAGAUCGGCUUGUAUAUUCAUCACAAUCUGAAAGGAUGAUUGUGUCGCUCUAUGGGAUGGCAGGCAUUGGUAAGACUACUCUUGCCAACAAACUCUUUCAAGAUCCAUUCAUUUCCAAUAGUUACGACAUACAUGUGUUCGUCACCAUAGGCCCAAAAUAUCGAGUAGCGGAUAUAUUGGUAGAUAUUCUAACACAAAUGAAUCAUGCUGAUGACAUUAUGCUUAUAGAAGGAGAAAAAAAAAUAGUUGAGUUGAAACGAAUGGUGUUUGAAAGUUUAAAUUGUUGGAGAUACUUGAUUGUGUUGGAUGAUGUAUGGGAUAAAGAGCUAUUUUCUGAGUUGGUCAACUUAUUUCCAGACCAGAAAAAUGGAAGUCGAGUAUUGUUGACAACUAGGCUAAGAGAAGUAGCUCAAUGUGCUAACUAUUUAAGUACUUUGAGAAUACCCUUCCUUGAUAAGAAAGAAAGUUGGGCUCUUCUUCGUCACAAGGUGUUUGAUGAAAUGCCUGUUAUUUGUAGUGGUUUUCGAGAUAGGAAUUUUGAAGAAAGAAUUGAUAAACAAUGAAAAGUCGAGGCAAGAACUUUGUUCUCUCUCCUUAAGACAAAAUUGCCCCGCAACAGUGCUUCGGUUUCGGCAAUUGUCUCCCAAGAUAAAACGACUUACAGUUCCAACAGAGCAGCACAACAACUGCUGGAACACAACGAACGAAAAGACGUUUUGGACUUUUAUUGACACGAAAGAAAGAUAUUAUGCAGCGAAUAUGCUUAUGCUUAUGAAUGCUUGGAUGAUUGAGUGAGAUUGCUGGAACACUUAGGGCUGUAUUUAUAGUUUUCAGAAAGUUGUGUUCCAAAAGACACAACUCUAGAAAAUGAAAGGAGCUGAAAAAGCAUUGUGUCUUUUCGCAGGGGUUACACACCAAUUCGUGUAUGAUGCUAGAUUAAUUAAUUAAGCCCAAAAACUUAAUUACUUCUAGGCCCAAAACCGACCCAACUCCAAACCAAACAUUUCCUUCGUGUAUGAUGCUAGAUUAAUUAAUUAAGCCCAAAAACUUACCCAACUCCAAACCAAACAUUUCCAAAGUCCAAAGUCCAAAGUCCAAAGUCCAUCGGCCUCGGGCUCGGGCUCGGGCUCGGGCUCGGUCCGGGCGGGCGGCGGCGGCGCGCGUGUGGCUUGGUACUUGAUCCCUCUCUUGAUUAUACCUCUAGCUAUCCAUUUGACACUAUUUAAAGUGUUCUCAUUAAUGCUUUUUUCGUGAUGUGGGACAAGUGACUUUUCACCUCCCACCAAGCCCUUUGAGCUUACUUUAGCUCAUUGAAGUACUUUACUUUGUGCAUUUAUUUCUCAUUCAUCCCAUAUUGGAUUUGAGCAUUUAAACACACUACAAUUAUCUACUCGAAGAGUAGAUUUUGUUUCCCAUAAUUUUAUACUUCAAUAUUUCCCACAUUUGAGGUAAACACCUCAAUUUUCCAACAAUGCCUUGCCCUCAUGAACUCGAGAAACCUGGAAAGAAGAUUGCUGAGAAUUGUGAAGGUCUUCCUCUUACAAUCAUCACGGUUGCCAAUAUCCUAUCAAAAGCCGACAAGACAAUAGAGUACUGGAACGAGGUAGCGGAUGAUAAAAAAAAUUCAGUAUACAAGGAUGCAUAUGAUCAAAUGUCAAAAGUACUUUAUCCUAGCUAUGACUACUUAGAUCAACAUUUAAAAGCAUGUUUUCUCUACCUUGGAUCUUUCCCACAAAAUCAUUCGGUACAUGGAUACCAACUAAUCAACUUGUGGAGUGUUGAAGGAUUUCUUAACCCAAAUCCGACGCAUUACUCAGACGCAACCGUGGCUUUCGAAAAAGGCACCUAUGCUUAUUUGGAUGAGCUUCAUUCGAAAAAUGUUAUCAUGUACCAUAAAGAAAAACACGGUCAACACCUUCAUUCAUCCUUUUGGUACAUGUGUAACAAAGAAGCUGCCAAGACCAAGUUUUUCUAUGCCUUCAAUUGUCGUGCCGAUGCUUUACCAGAAGAAGGUAUAAAAUAUCAACGCAGAUUGUGCAUUCGCAAUAAUAUUCUAUUUGCCAUUGAAGAUGUAAAAGAUUCAAUGGCAUCUGCUGCAACGGUACGCUCUCUCCUCUGUACCGGUGUUUUUCAAGAAUAUCCUGUACCGUUGUGUUUGGAACAUUUAAGGUUGCUCAGGGUAUUGGAAGCUAUUUCUAUUAGAUUUUAUGAGUUCCCAAUGGAAGUAUUGAAACUAGCUCAGUUAAGAUACCUCGCCCUCACUUAUGAUGGAAACCUCCCUACUUCUAUUUCCAAACUCUGGAACCUCCAGCACUUGAUUGUUGAUCGACAUCUAAGCAUCAUAAAGUCUGGUGGGAAUUUAUCAUAUCUGCCUAUUGAGAUAUGGAAUAUGAAAGAAUUGAAGCAUAUUCAGACCAUGGGAAGCAACCUACCACAUCCUUGUGAAGGAUCUCUCCUACCAAACCUAUUAAAACUAAGAGAUGUUGGUCCUCAAAGUUGUACCAAAGAUGUGCUUCAAAACAUCCCUAAUAUGAAAGAGUUGGCAAUUAAAAUCGAACUGCCUCCUGAUGCUACUGAGCCGUUGAGAUGCUUUGAUCACAUUUCUCAUCUCCAUCAACUAGGACAACUAGAAUGCUACAUUAUGAAUCCUAUAUUGAAGACACAGGUUGUCUCCCCACUUGCUCCUCUUUCAGACUUGCCAUCUAGUCUUACGAUGUUAACUUUGAGCGGCUUAGGAUAUCCGUGGGAAGAAAUGAACAAGAUUUCUUCGUUGCCAAAUCUGAGACAUCUCAAAUUGAAAUGCUACGCCUUUCGAGGCCCAAAGUGGGAAGUUCACGACAACGAAUUCCAAAGAAUCGAAGUUCUUAAUAUUGAAGACACCGAUCUAGUGCACUGGAAGUUUGUGACGACAAGUUCUUGUUUUUAUGAGAUUAAGUGGUUUAGCUUCGAACAUUGCUACAAGUUAAAAGAGAUCCCUCUUUCAUUUGGUACGUCUCUUGAAUUCAUUGACGUAGUUGAAUGCAACCCUAUGGCUGUGAAUUGUGCAAAGAAGUUAAAGAAGGAGUGGGACGACAAAUAUGGCGGUUAUGGACGUCCAUUAGAUCUUAAUGUUCGUUCUUCACUGUAAUGAUGGGAUAUUGGGAUGACCAAAACACUUUACUAUAACAUUGAUUCUUUAAAAGGUUAGUCAUUCCAUUUUUAUUUCUAUCAAUUAAUGAAUUUUGAACACUACUAAUAUUUUAGUCCACACAUUCAGGUAUAUUGUUUCAAGAGCCACAGGAGAAAUUACAAGAGAAAAUUUGAUCACACGAGAAAUUACAUUCAGCAUUGCUUGCAUCUUGGAUUUGGAGAAACGUACUUUGCAUUUUCGAACCGACCAAAUAAAAGCGUGUUUGAAUAUUUUGUCAUCCAUUUCUUGAUAAUGUUAUUUUGGUGUGGUUGAUUAAUUUUAGGGUUUUUUUGGUUUUUUUUUUUCUCUUCUUUUCUUUCUUUCUGUAACUUUUUUUUUUCGUUUACACAACAAUAUUGUUGUGAUUGACAGUAAUAUUAACUAUCUUACUGUUAAACACAGUAAAAUUAACUAAAUUACAGUUUAGCACAGUAAUAUUGUUAUAUUAAUCUCUAGCACAGUAAUAUUAACACAACAAAACUCAUUAUUAUUGUGUAAUAGAGUAAUAUUCCUAUAUUGACCGUUCAACAAAUGUAAACAUAAUAAAAAGCCAAAAGAAUUAAUAUUACUGUGAGUGACAGUAAUAUUACUAUAACAACAGUAAUAUUACCAUCAACCACAGUAAUAUUACAAUAAUAGACAGUACUAUUAUUACGUUACUCCGUGAAUAACUCAAAAAAAACAAACAAAAUACAAACAAAAUAAUAAUAUUGAUGUGGUUGACAACAAUAUUACUAUAACAACAGUAAUAUUACCGUCAACCACAGUAAUAUUAUUGUGUUUACAGUAAUAUUACAAUAAUAGACAGUAAUAUUAUUACGUUACUCCGUGAAUAAUUCAAACAAAGCAAAAACCCCAAAAAAACAAUAAUAUUGAUGUUGUUGACAGUAAUAUUAUUGUGUUUACAGUUAUUUUACUGUCAACGACAGUAAUAUAAUUACGUUGACUUGUCAACAAAUCUAACGAAAUAAAAAAAAUAACAAAAAAUAAAAAAUAAUAAUAUUACGUUAAUUUACUGUCAACGGCAGAACAAUUACAUAAAUGUAUUGUCAACGGCAGUAUAAUUACGUUAAUUAACUAUCAUUGACAGUAUAAUUACGUUAAUUUACUGUCAGUGACAGCACAAUUACGGUCAAUGUUUAGCGACGGACGUAAAAAAAAACAAAAAAAAAAAAACUUAAAAAACUCUAAAAAAAGUCAACGCCGGAAACCGGCGAAAAAAUCCGGAAGAAAAGAGAAGAAAAAAGAAAAGAAAAAAAAAUGAAAAAGUCAACGCGGGAAACCGGCGAAAAAUCCAAAAGAAAAAAAAAUUGAAAAGUCAACGUUGGAGGCUGGAAAAAAAAAUUUGGGGUCAAAUUGAAUAAUCUGUAAAAUUUAGGGUCAAAUUGAGGUUAAAUUAAGUUAAGGAUGAAAUUGUAGCAUAUUAAAAAUUGGGUAUAAAGGGUUGACGGUAAUAUUUGGAUAUACAUGAAUGUUUUCUUUAUUUAUAAUAAAUAUUAAAGGGAUGAGCUUAUUGGUGAAAGAGAUAUAGCCCAUGAACCUAGAAUAAUAGAGGUGUAUGGUUGGAGACUUUAUCACAAAAAUCCCUUAUAUUUAAAUCAAAGUGGUGAAAAAUUAAUUGUUGAGAAAGUGUGGAUUAUUUCUAGAGAGAUUCUUGUGCCUAAUUUUUAUAGCUCGUCGGCCUCGUCCAAUUGCGCACCAUCCAAUUUUAAAAUUUGAAUGCUCAUGUUGCAAUUAUAGAAAAUAUAUACAAUUAUAUAUAUAUAUAUAUAUAUAUAUAUAUAUAUAUAUAUAUAUAUAUAUAUAUAUAUAUAUAUAUAUAUAUAUAUAUAUAUAUAUAUAUAUAUAUAUAUAUAUAUAUAUAUAUAUAUAUAUAUAUAUAUAUAUAUAUAUACUAGUUGAGGAGCACCGCGCAAUGCGCGGUGCCGGUGCCCUGUUUAUAUAUUUGCAAAAUGUGUUUUGUUUAUACUGGCAUGAGGAAAAGAAGAAACGGGGAAGGGAGAAACCACGGGCAACAGGUGAAAAGCAAUUCAAUUUCCCCAAACCACGACAAAAAACGAACCUAAACUGAAACCGAAACCGAAACCGAAACCAUGAGAUAAGGAGCAUGCUUACAAAAUAAAAAUAAUUUCCAGCGUGUAUUUAUGCAAGUUACAUAUUAAAAAGAAGGCAUAUAUGGCACCCAACAGAAGUUGUUUUUGCGUAACUUUAAGUAGACAUGAAACACAGAGCCCAAAACAUAUGUUCGCUUCUAAACAACACCGAAGUUGAACCAAUCUACAAAUCACAUAUCGCCUAAACUAAAACCAAAACCGAAACAAAAACCCAAAACAUGAGAUAAGGAGCAUGCUUACAAAAAUAGAAAUAAUUUACGAUAGGAAGACAAAGUUUCUCACCUGUAUCCUAUUUCAAAAAAUAACAUCAUACUGCACAAACGCCAAAGCAGUUGAUCAUCCACACAUAUAACUUCUCACUUACCUCGUUCCUGCUCCCCGGACAGCACAUCGGCAAGUUUCUUCUCCCCAUCAGCUGCUGCUUCUUUUGCAUUGCACAAAAAAAAUCAGAAAUUAGCGAAAGUUUACUGAAAUAAAUUCAAUUGAACUUGAUAUGAUAAAUAUACCGAGUAAUUUUAUAGAACAAAACAUCUAUGUUACUCAAAUGACUCGUGCCGAAUUUUCAUUCCAGAAAGACAAACAAAAGCACUUGCAUCAAACUAAACAAGAUUUAACUAUUCCACACACACACAAAAAAAAAACUAAAGCAAAAGGAAGCUCAUAAGAAAGAGAAGACAGACUUUACAAAGUACGAAAAAUUAUUAGAAAAAACAUGAAAAACUCUGAAAUAUAAACAAAGGACAGUGGUAAUGGCGGACGAGUCUGGGAAGAAAUUAAAUUAAUACAAAGAACAAUGGAAUCGUUCCAACCGAGAGUUGUGGUUGGUUGAGCAACGCUUGCUUGUAAAAUAAAAUCGAUCGAAUCAAUACCAAUACAUAAAAAUUGGGAGAACUGGAGAAGAACAAGAGGAUUAGAAAGAAAAUAGGAUGAGUACCAUGAGUGAGAUCGGGUUGGAGAAAAGGUGAGAUUGGGUUGGAGAGAAGGGGUGGGCACCGACAAUAUCUGAGUAAUCCAAGUCGGAUGUGAUCGAGAAGGGGCAGUGGUCUGCAAUUGGGCGAAAAAUGCGGUGGAAAGUGAUACUGACAGCUGGGGCGGUGGCCUCGAACGAAGCGGCGGCGGCGGCGGCGGCGGCGGCGGAAGACCUGUUUGAGGGCGGCAGCGGAGGGCUGCGGUCAGAGUCAGCAAUUGUAGGCCCGUGCACCAUCGUUCAACACCUGGAUGCACGCCGUUUCUACAUUCUCAUUUCCCUUAAGAUAGCUACUCAAUAUAUAUCCUGCCAGCAAAUCAAAUAUGUCAUGCCGUCAUUUAGGAGUAUUUAAUUCAACAUGAACAUUGUAAAGAACUCAAAUAUUUCAAAGAAAUGUUGUAUAUAUCUGACGAAUUUAUAAAGUAAGGCCUUGUUUCGUGGUAAGAUAAGUAAAUAAAAAAUUAGGUCUUAUUUAGUGAAAUAACUUGUCGGCCCGGCCAGAACGUUUGUGAAACGAGCUCUUAUCUAGGCUUGGAGGGUGUUUGGCUAAGCUUUUAAACAGUUGAUAAGCUCUUACAUCUGAUAAGAUGUUUUUAGAGCUGAUAAGCUGUUACAUCUUAUUUUUAUGAUUAAUUUAUAGAGUGUUUGGAUAAUAAGCUUAUUUCCUAUUUUUACUCAUUAUAAGAUCUUAAAUAAAAAGGUGGGGUAGAUGUACUUAUUUAAAAAGAUCUUAUUUGGUCUCCAACAGCUUAUUUUUAAAAAAAUUAAGAUCUUUUUUUAAAAAUUUACCAAACACUUUAGAAGAGCUUAUAAGCUCUAAAACAUCUUAUAAGCUCUUUUUAACAUCUUAUAAGCUUAGCCAAACACCCUCUUAAUCUUAUAUUGGGAACCAAACGAGGCCUAACAAGAUAAAAUUAAUAUGGAGCAUCAUCAAAUCCCACAGCAUUAGCACAAUUCAUACUAAUUAUUACUGAGGUAAAGGAAAUUAAAAAAACUGAAGUUUUGGUGUACUCUUAAAUAAAAUGUUUAAUCGAAUACUCGGGUGCAAGAAUAGAACUCCGAAUCACACAACACAGCGUUUGGGUACUACUGACAGGCAAAAACAAAGUCUCCACAGAACAGCUAAAAGGCAAAAAACUAAUCUCAAGCCAUUAUUUUAAUUCAGUGUUAAUACAAAUAUAUUAUGAUUUAUGCCCAAUAUUUUCAAUUUCGGAAUGCAUCUGAAAAAUAAAGGCCUGAUAUAUGUUGUACAAAUUGAUUGUGACCAGUAUUACACUCUCGAAAAAAAUCAAUAAAUUAUCAAACAAGGAAUCAGCAAAACAGAAUUUCCAGAAUAUAUGUUUUCAGAUUAGGAGAUAGUUGAAAAACAUUUUACACACACACACACAACGUACCGUAUCGACGGAGGCGGCGUCGAUAAGUAUUCGCCGGAGAGAAGAAAGAUCCCCACCACGAACCCAUUUUCAAUCAAAUUGAAUGAGAGUAAUCACUGUUCAAAUGCCCAUGGAUUUGUAGAAUCACAGUAUCAAUUAAAUCUAAUGAAAUCCCAGCUUUAAUAGAUUCGAGCAGCAAAUUAUUAGAAAAAACAUGAAAAACUCUCAAAUAUAAACAAAGGAUAGUGGUAAUGGAGAACGAGUCUGGGAAGAAAAUAAAUUAAUACAAAGAACAAUGGAAGCGUUCCAACCAAGAGUUGUGGUUGGUUGAGCAACGCUUGCUUGUAAAAUAAAAUCGAUCGAAUCAAUACCAAUACAUAAAAAUUGGGAGAACUGGAGAAGAACAAGAGGAUUAGAAAGAAAUAGGGAGAACUGUAAAAUAAAUUAAAAACCUUUACAGCUGCUUAUUUGAUAAAUAGGUCUCCUUCUGUGCCCUUGAAUGGGGAAUUGCCUGAAUCUAAAUGGUGUGGUAAACCUGUUGAUUCAUCAAAUUUGAAAGUUUUUGGCUGUACUGUAUUUGUUCAUCAAAAGCUUGAUAAACUUGACCCCAGAUCUGUGAAAUAAGUUUUCUUAGGAUACCCUGAAGGGGUCAAGGGUUAUAGGUGUUGGUUGUAUGGUGAUUAGGGUUUUAAAACUGUGAUUAGAAGGAAUGUUGUGUUUAAUGAAAAUGAAUUUCCAUGCUUAUCUGUUCCUAAUGUUGUUUCACCUGAUACCACUUCCACUGAGGUGGAGAUUCCACAUGUUAAUUAUGUUCAAACUGAAAAAAAAAACUCUGAUGAUGAAGUUGUUAAUAAUGAGAUGCCUGAAAAUACUGUUUUUGAUCAAAAUGUUAAUCUUGAUGUGCUCUCUGUGAAUGAUCUUGGUGAUUACCAACUUGCUAGGGACAGAGAUAGAAGAAACAUUGUUAGGCCUCAUCAUUUGAAUGAUUACCAACUUGCUUCUCAUGUGUUUCAUGUGUUUGAUUCUCUAGAUGGUAAUGAACCUAAGUCUUAUAGGGAAGCUUUGAAUUCUAAUGAGUCUGUUGAUCGGUUAAAUGCUAUGAAUGAUGAAAUGAAGUCUUUACAUGUUAAUCAUACUUGGAUUAUUGUACCUAAACUUCCUACAUGCUCUUUAGUUGACUGUAAGUGGUUGUUUAAGGUUAAACAUGAGUCUGACUCUGUUAGAUACAAGGCUAGGCUAGUGGCUAAUGGGUUUACCCAAAAGGAAGAUAUUGAUUACACUGAAUUAUUUGCUCCUGUUGUGAAAUUCACCACUGUUAGAAUCAUGCUUGCUUUAAUUGCUCAUUUUGACUGGGAAUUAAAACAAAUGGAUGUAAAAACUGAUUUUCUGCAUAGUGAAUUAGAUGAGCAAAUAUAUAUGUGGCAGCCUGAGGGUUUUAUUGAUAAAAAAUAUCCUGAUUAUGUAUGUCUGUUAAAGAAAUCUUUGUAUGGACUGAAACAGUCACCUAGGCAAUGGAACAAGAUAUUUGAUGCAUGCAUGAUGUCUUUANNNNNNNNNNNNNNNNNNNNNNNNNNNNNNNNNNNNNNNNNNNNNNNNNNNNNNNNNNNNNNNNNNNNNNNNNNNNNNNNNNNNNNNNNNNNNNNNNNNNUGCUUAUAUUUUAAAGAAUCUUGCUAGUCCUUGCAUUCCAAACUGUUAAUCAUGUGAUUAAAUGCAUUAGUGAUGAGUUUGAUAUGAAACUUCUUGGUGAUGCAAAAAGAAUUCUUGGCAUGGACAUAAUCAGAGAUAGACCUGGCUGUACUUUAUUCCUGAAUCAAUCCUCCUAUAUAUUGAAAAAAUUCUUGAUAAAUUUUCUAUGUUGUCUGCCACACAUGUAUCUGUUCCUCUUGCUUCUCAUUUUUUGUUAAGUAAGGAUCAGUCUCCCAAGACUGAACCUGAAAUCUCUGAAAUGAAAAAAGUGCCAUAUGCCAAUGCCAUUGGGUCUGUUAUGUAUUUGAUGGUUAGUACUAGACCUGACAUUGCAUAUUCUGUGAGUUGCUUGAGUAGAUAUAUGUCUAAUCCAGGUUUGCCCCAUUGGGAGGCAUUAAAUUGGCUGCUUAGAUAUUUGAAAGGUGUUAAUACUGGUCUGAUGUUUUCUAAAGGCAAAACUGAAAUUGAACUAUGUGGCUAUGUUGACUCAAAUUUUGCCAAUGAUAGGGACAAUAGAAAAUCUUCUACCUCUUAUGUGUUCACCUUAAAUGGUGCUUGUGUUAGUUGGAAAUAUCAACUCCAAAACAUUGUUGCUCUCUCUACUACUGAAUCUGAAUAUAUAGCUGCUACUGAAGCUAUAAAAGAAGCCAUCUGGCUUAAGGGGCUGUUGUUGGAAGUUGAUAUUCUUAAUUCUAAAGUGGUUGUAUUAUCUGAUAGUCAAUCUGGCAUUCAACUGUGCAAAAACCCUGUUUUUCAUGACAGAACUAAACACAUUUAUGUGAAGUUCCAUUUCAUUCGUGAUGUAGUUUAAAAAGGGGUUAUUGACCUUGAGAAAAUUCCAUCUGAGUUCAAUCUAGCUGACAUGGGAACAAAAUGUCUGCCUUCUGAAAAAUUCUGCUCUUGUUUGAAAAACUUGAACAUUCUUUCAAAACCUUAACUUGUUGUGUGCUAGUUUGUAGUAUGUGUGACUUGAUAUUUAUGCUUUCUUUGUGAUUGCUUGUUAAAUCUAUUUCUGUGUGAAUAAGAUUAUGCUUUCUAUGUGAUUGCAUUACUGCAUUUAUUCUAAAUGCACAUAAGUUGUAUUCUGAGUGAACAAACUUGAUACACUUGUAUGAACUGUGUGCUCCUACUGGUGUGUCAAAAACCAGCAAUGAUGACUUCCAAAAAUUUUUUUGAGAAAUUUUCACUAAUGAUUCACAUUUGGUCCAAGGUGGAGAAUUGUUUGGUUUUUGGCCCAAAUGUGUUUUGGGCCAUAGAGCCCAAUUGCCAUCCUUUAUUAUAUACACCACCAUUGAGCCAAGCCCAAAAGGAGUAAGUGAGCCCAAGUCCAUAUCUGAGCCCAAUCCAUCUGUUGGAUUUCUGGCUGAUUCUGGACCGUCUAUUUCCUCACUUAAAUACUUUUUUCUCUCUCUUAAUUUCACUAAUUCUGAAACCCUAGCUUUUCUCUCUUCUUCUCCGCCGCUCCUGGUUCUGUCUUCUUCCUCCCUUGUACUGCCUUGACUGAUAAUGGCUGGAGGUUAAAGAGCAUGGUACAGUGCCGACUUUGACUCUCCAGUACAGCCUUCACCGGCUCUAUUUGACUUCAGUCCCUAUAUAUAUUGGCAUGGAGGUUGGAAAAAGAUAAGACACAGAUAAAACCCUAAAUCCGACCUAAAUCCCUAAGUUUUCUAUUUGUGAGUUCUAAAAUUGGGGUUUUUUGGUGAGUGGGUAAGUUGAGUGCUGGGUAAAAUUUGAGUGCUUGAUUUCUGGGUAAUCUAGGGUUUGAGUGUUGAGAGAGAUAGAAAAUUAGAAAAUUCGUUCUUUUGUGGUGGUGUAUAUUGAAAGUGUGAAUCUCUGGUGUGAUAAUUGGAAGACUGAGCUGAAAAUCUCAAAAUCUCAAUCUAUAUAUCUAUCACCUUUCAUUCUUUUCUUUCUGUUAUAUAUAUAUAUAUAUAUAUAUAUAUAUAUAUAUAUAUAUAUAUAUAUAUAUUCUCCUUGGCAGUAAUCAAUACUGCUCAAGGAGAACUUAUAUAUUAUUCAGUGGCUUUAUGGAGCUGGGCAGUUUGAUACCCUACAGAUACAAAGUGAAUUAGGGAUACAAAUUUUAUCGAAAAAAACUUUAGUAGAAUGGAUAACUGUCGUAUAUUUCUUUAUUUUACAACAAAUUGCAAUUCUACUAACAAUUUUUCGUUUGAUCAAUAUGCACAUAUGAUAUCGUAGAUUAUGACACACUUCAGUCUACGCUCGAUUUUUGUCAUUAGUUGCUGCCUUCAGUUUUUCCAGCAAUAGUUCCGAUCCUCACUGCUUAUUGAGAUAAUGUCAUAUAUUUUUUGCAGGUAUUAUUGCUUCUUGGUGCCCUUGACACUUCCGAUCCUCUUUGUUGCCGUUUAUUUUCAUUGGUUGAGCAUGAAAUUGUUCAAGCACGCAUAAUUUUUACUUCAACGGGUAUCAGCUGGCAGCCACUGCGAGAAAUGAAUGGUACAUUGCAUGUUUUCUUGUCUAUAUCAGUUGGGAAUCGGAUUAAGAAGAGGAGAGAUAACAAUGAAACAACAACUACUUCCCAUCGUUUUCCCACAAAGAGUGAGCAUUAACGUUGUCAACACACGAAAUUCGCUUUGUACAAGUCACGACAAAAGGGUUGGAGUCAACUACUUCGAUCUCUCUAACACGCCCUAAAAUUUGUCCUCUAACAAUCUUUUCUAGUUUGUAGCUGUGUUUAGGUGCUCAAGAGAUUCGAAGUUGUUAUCUCCGAUUGUCCAGUCAACAAAAUCACUGUCUUCAAUCGAAAGAUAUUCAAGUCCUCGGAAUUCCUUGCCACGAGUUUCCCAUUUCGCCCCUCGAAAGGCAUAGCAUUGCAGUUUCAGCACUUUCAAAUCCGGCAACGAAGCUUCCCACGGAUAUCCUCAAACUCAACCUUUUUAGACUCUGUGGAAAAAUCGAAAGAGGAGCCACAACCUCGAAAAUAGGAUUCAUAAUUGUACAUUUAAGUACUUGUAGUCCACGGAGUUGAGAAAUAUGAUCAAAGCAGCUCAAGGGUUGAAACGGAUGAAAUCGAGUCGUAUCGUACCUAGUAAUUUUAAUGUGGCAUUUAGCGUUGUGAAUAAAUUAGUUUAUUGACUAUAAGUAGCUAAGAAUUCAAGUCCAUUAGUUGGGCUUUCACAUAUAAACUAGGACAUAUUUUAACCAAAAUUCAUGGGCUUGAAACUUUUAGUAAUAUUGGGCCUACUAUUAUAAUUAAACAACUACAAGUUCUUAAGCUUAUGGUAACAUCUCUCUCCAUACUUACUUAUAGAAGGGUAAAAUUGGUAUAAAAAAAAUUAUGCAUUAAAAUAAAAAACAUAUAAGUAAAAUGGGAGGAUGGAGUACAACAAAGAAACAAUCUUGGCUUUAGAGCCGAAAGAAGAAAAGGUUAAUUGAAUUAUUUACCUUGGGAAAAGGGAAGAACAUUCCAAUAAACAAGAGGGUUAAUUAAUUAAUUGAACAUUAAAGAGAUACCAAACCAACAAGUAAAGAAUAGUUUUUUACUACUUAAUUAUUUAUUAUUUACUUUGCUAAUUUAUAAAUUAUACUUUAAUUUACCAGUUAGUGGUAUCUGCCCUCCAAUUGUACAGUCACUAAUCACUAUCCCUUCUUGAUUAUAAAGUCUAGUGUUCUUGUUUAGAUCUCUAUACAAGUUCAUAUUAUGAGAUUUUUUAAAAUAUAAUCAACAUUUGAAGCUUAAAAAACAAUUUCAUUAAAGGACUUUAAAUAAAAAUCAUGGGACAAUUUUGAAUGGUCAACUCAUACCUAGAAUUAACUACUAUUCCACUAACAAUCAUGUUCGUAUAUUCUUUAUGAUUUUUAAGAUGAGAUAUUGCAUUUAAGACUAUUUUGUUUUUUUGCAAUUAUUAGUGUGUGUGAAUCCGUGUAAAAUCUAAAAUAGUACUCCGUUCGUUUCUAAUUAACUGUUAUUUUUAGCUUGCACAAGUAUUAAGAAUCUCAAUAAAUGUGUCUUGAUUUUAGGAAAAACACAUUAGAAAAACUAAAAUAACCUUAAUCAUUUAAUGAUGUGAUAAGAUUGAGUUAAUACUUAGAGUUGAAUUAAUAAGGUUAAAACAGGAAAACAAAUUACAUUUAAUGCAGCAUUUAAAAUCUAAAGUGACAGAUAAUAACGUGCGGACAAUCACAAAAUGGCUAGCAAGUCUUCCUAAGAAUUAAUAUUUAGAACUAUCAUGUGCCCGUAAGGAUGGUCUAGCAGGUAGAGUAAGAAGAAUACAGUGUCUAACAAUGAGGGUUAAAUCAAUUUGAAAACAUAUGGAAUUCAAAUUAAACUAAGCCUAUGAAAAAUUUAAUUUAACUAGUCGUGUCUACAAAACAAAAGUUAUUGACUCUUUAGUGAUAAUUACAAAUUAAACAUGUACCUAACUUUUUAUAUUAUUUUUGUAAGAUUAGAUUUUACAUGAAAACUUUUUUAAGUAGGAAUGCAAUCAAAUCAGUGUGUACGUGUGUGUCAAUAUACAUUGUAUAUAUAAAUACUUAUGUAUAAAUUAAAAUAAUAUACUAUGGGAGUCAAAAAUCUUAUCCAACACUAAUGUAAAAUUUAUUUAAUACAUGCAUAUCCCUUUUGAAGAAAGAAAAAAUUAUACUAAUAAUUAAUAAGCCCUUUUUUUUUUGAAUUUUGAGGAUCAAUGUUUAAUGUGGUUAUUAUUUAAGAGAUGCAUCUCUUUUGAAGAAAUAAAAUAAGAGAUGCAUCUCUUUUGAAGAAAUAAAAGAUUAAUAAUAUUAAGCUCUUUCUAAAGGCACUCAAGAAUGUAAAAUAAAUUAACUUGCUAAUUAUCGUAAUGAAUGAAUGCCGAAUAUAUCUUCAUGGUUCUUGAAAAAAAAAAUUCGGAAUCUAAUAUAUACUUCAAUUAUGUUUAAAAAAAUUGGAAAUCGGAACUUUCGGAAUUAAGAUAAAAAAAAAAUACUGUUACAAAAUAAAAUAUAUUCAGAUCAGAACUGGCAGAGAGUUACUAGAGAUGUUGCGGGGUAUGGUCUUUUUCUUUUCUUUCUUUUUAGGGGAUUUCGUACAACUUAAAUCAUAACGAGUAGCAAGUCAAUGAGCCAAAGAAAAACCGGAACGUCUAACAGAAGAAAAGUCGCAAGAAUCAAACGAACUAAGAAGAGAAAAACAAUCAGUUACGAAAACUCCUAUGGGAGCUGAAGAAGCAACAUUUGCCUUGAGAGCGUUGAUCUACACCUUCCACCACAAUCGACCCUUUUCAAUUCACCGGAAAGAAAGUUCAGAAAUUUAGUUCCAAUUUCAACCCUUAAUUGGAACUAACCAAGCAGCUUACCGAUGGAAUUUUUAAGGAAAAAAUACAAAUAAAACGAAAAAAAGGAUACACAGUUGUAAUAUUACAAUAACCAGUAAAAAUUUCAGUUUUAUUUAUAAAAUUCUCAUCUUCAAUCUAUCUACUAGUGCCGAUAAUUUAUUUUAUGUCGGUUUUUACUUGAAAAUUAAAAAUAUACGACUAAGAACAUAUUUAGAAUCAACAUAGAAUAUUAAUUGACACGAUAAGAUAGUACGUUGAUAAAUACUUUACAAUUAUGACUUAUUUGGUCAUGGAUUCGAGACUUCGAGUACUCGAACGGAAAUUGAGAAACCAAUGACUAUCCUCAUUACUGAAGACAAAAACAAAUUAUAGAAUAUUAAAUUUAUAGAAUUUAAUGUAAUAUUGCAAUAUAAAACUAAUAAUAGUGGAUCGAUUAUAAUAUUAAUAGAUUUUAAAAUUAUGGAUUAAAAAACAAUUAUAUUAGUCUAAUAUUAAUUGAAGACAUUAUAUUGGGGGCCCUAUAGAUCAUGGCCCUCUUCCCCUGUCUACUUUUAACAACCUUUACAAGAAAAAGAAAAACCCUUAAAAAAAGAAAAACUCAGAAACUUAUGGGCCAUUAUUUAAUAAGUUAAAAUUGCGAGUACCAAAGCUUUUAUUAUAUAUUUUCUGUAUGGAGCCUAUUUAUUGUCUAUGCACUUCUAUAUUUUAUUUCCAAUAUUUUAUUAUUUGACGUAACAUUAUAAACUUACAUUUUUUUCUCAAUAUUUUAUUAUUUAAUUGUCAAGAUAAAAUUAGUUAAAAUAAGAUUAUAAUUUUUUGUGACUCAUUGUAUAAUUAAAACUAUGGGAGGUCCAAUACUCAAUUCUUCGUAAACUUAUAUUUUUGUAAUUAUGGGUUGGCCCGAAAAAUAAUUGACUAAUUGAACAUUAAAUAAAACUUGAUUAUUUAAUUAAUUUUAAUAUAGGCAAAAUACAGUUUUAGUCCCUCAUAUUUGUACCGAUUUCACAUUUGGUCCUUAAUGUAAAAAAAACACAUUUGGUCCCUCAUGUUUCAACACUUUUAGUCAUUUCCGUCAAAUUUUCGUUAGAACUAACGGAAUCAGACGUGUCUCUAUCACUGCCUUAACUGACGGAGUAGCAGUAAAUUGACGAAAAAGGACCAAAAGUGUUAAAUUAUUGAAACAUGAGGGACCAAAUGUAUUUUUUUGUGAACAUUGGGGAUCAAAUGUGAAAUCGAUGCAAACUUGAGGGGUGAAAAUUGUACUUUCCCCAAUUUAAUAUAUAAUAUCAAUGAGGAUAUAUAGCUUGAUUAUUGAAAAAUCAUGUCUAGACCAGACAAUGCUUUAAGUCCAAGUUAAAGUUGAGGAUAUUAAAAAAAAAUAUAGCUGAAAUGGCAAAUUUAUAUGCUUAAAUAUUUAAUUAAGCAACAAUCAUUGAAUCACAUUGAAAUUCAUUAUUCCGCAUAAAUGGGUGAUUUAACAACAUUUAAAAUACAAAAAAAAAGAAAAUGACAAUGGAUAAAUUUGUGAUUUGUUCAAAAAAAUAUUCAAUAUAUUUAUACUUAUAAAUAAAUUACAAAGACAUAAAUUGUAUGUACGUAAUUUUCCUAAAGGAUAAAUUUCUAUAUAUUUUCUUACAAAAGAACUCGUAACAACUUAAUUCUUCGUACAAUAGCUUGCAAACCACACAAGAACCCAAUGAGUUUUAUUUAAUUUUGAACUAACUAUUUAAAUUAGUUAUAAAUUGGCAAUUAUCUAAUUCUUUUUUAUGGUGUAUGAUCAUGUGCAAAAACCCAAUGGGUCUCGUGAUUAGAUUCCCUAAUAGACAUACUUGUAAGAUAAUUUAAGUAAAAUAUAAUGUUAAAAAAAUUGCAUGCCAAAAGUCACGAGCCACGCAACAUGUGUUAACAAAUCCAAAUUAUAUUCUUUAACAUUAACCUGCUGUCACGCGACAUCACGUGAUCCCACGAUUUACUUACAAUUUUUUAAAAAUAAAAUAUAUUUAUAUAUAUAAGAAAACACAAAACAAUAUCUUUUUUAUGUACUAAAUUUAGACUUCAUUUGAUUACUACGUGCCAUCAAUAAGUCAAAAUGGGCACCCAUUUAUGAAGACAUACAAAAAAAGGAAUUGAUGCGGUGACGGAGUCGGCAUAGAGCCGAAGGGGGCCAUGGCCCCUAUAAUAAUUCUUAAAUUUCUAUUUUGUAUAUAACUAUUUAGAAAAAUUCUUGUAUAAUUAGUAUUAUCGGCUCUCCUCAUAAAAGUGUUAAUAUACUUUGGUAUUCGCGAACUUAAAAUCCUGAUUGAACGAUAUAUUAAGAUAUAAAAUAACAAGUUUAAUACAAUUAUUAAUGAAAGAACUCUUCUUGGUCAUGUUACUUCUUAAAAUAAUUAAGAGCUGAAGAAUUAGAUUUUUUUUUUUUUUGCAGUAUCCAUUUUACAAUAUACUAUUUCAUAAUUUUAUAAAAUUAAAUUCAAGAUUAAAAUUUAUUUUACAAACAUAUCAACUUCUAAGUUAAUUCAAGAUUAAAAUUUAUUAAAACUACAUAAUUGACAUUGAGAGAGAGAAAAGGAGAGAGAAGCAUACGUUGGAUGUUAGAUAUUUUUUAAAAGGAUAAAUUUCACUUGUUGGAUGUUAGAUAUUUUUUAACAAGAUAAAUUUCACUUUCCCUCUUGUAUUAUGGUUCGAUAUCACUUUAUUCUCUUCUAUUCUCAAUUGCAUUGAUUUGGCCCCAUGUACUUGGAAAAUUGUCUCAAUGUGACCCUUGCCGUUAGUCUCUAGACAUUUGACCUUAACACCAUUUGAUUUAAGUCUGAAAAUUACAAAAAAACCACACCUCCUACUUUAAAUAAUUAUUAAUUUUUAAAAUUUUUUUUAAUAAAAAGAGAGAGAGAGAGAGAGAGAGAGAGAGAGAGAGCAUUGAAAGAGAUGGCUUAUGGUGCUGCUGGUAGUCUGGAGCUGACAAUUGAGCGGCUUUUGAAAUCAUCUUAUAUUUCGAUUGUUCAAAAUUCAUCUCCACAAAUCAUCAAACUUUUGUACAAAGAGAUUCUUUCCUUAAAAGAAGCUCUCAGAGUAUUCGAUAAAAAGAGGAGCACCAUCAACAUGAAGAUGGUGAAAAGUUUGGAGGCGGAAAUGGUAGAGGCAAUAUACAAAUUCGAAGAUGUAAUCGACCCUCAUCUCUCAAAUCAGUUCCAUUCACAAUCUGAAGCAGAAGAAGAGACGGCCGAUCAUCCUCCAUCAAUGAUAUUCUCGGUAGAUGUGAAGGAAAUAAAGCAAGAUGUCGAUUCCUUUAUCGAAACAAUGAACAAGAUGAAGAGGGCCUAUAUCCACGAAUUACACAAUCCCUCACCUGAAGAAGAUGAUGAUGAUGAUUUUGUGGCAUCAAAAACUCAUUUUCGGGGAAAUGAGCCUAUCAUGGUUGGAUUAUCUGAUAUAUUUAUGUCAAUAGAAAAUUGGCUUAAUUCCUCAAAUUCUGAAAGGAUUAUUGUGUCGCUGGUCGGGAUGGCUGGCAUUGGUAAGACUACUCUUUCCAAGAAACUCUUUCAUGAUCCAUUCAUUGUGAGUUGUUAUAGCAGGCUCGUGUUCGUGACCAUAGGCCCUAAAUAUCGUCUAGCGGAUAUCUUGGUGGAUAUUCUAACACAAGUGAAUCCCGACUUUGAUGAAAUAAUGCUUAUGAAAGGAGAAAAAGUAUUAGCUGGAUUGAAAAGGAUGGUUUACGAAAGUUUAAAGUAUUUGAGAUACUUGAUCGUGUUGGAUGAUGUAUGGGAAAUAGACCUCUGUUCUGUGCUGUUGGAGUUAUUUCCAGAUGACAAAAAUGGAAGUCGAGUGUUGGUCACAACUAGGAUGAAAAAAGUAGCUGAUUGUGCUAAGCCUUUGAAUAUUUGCAAAAUACCCUUCCUUGAUAAGAAAGAAAGUUGGGAUCUUCUUCGCGAGAAGGUGUUUGGUGAAGAAGAACCGUGCUCUUAUAGACUUGAGAAAGCUGGAAAGAAGAUUGCCGAGAAUUGUGAAGGUCUUCCUCUUACAAUCAUCACGGUUGCCAAUAUCCUGUCAAAAGUUGACAAGACAAUAGAGUACUGGAACGAGGUAGCGGAUGAUAAACAAAAUUCAGUAUAUAAGGAUGCAUAUGAACAAAUGUCAAAGGUACUAUAUCCAAGCUAUGACUACUUAGAUCAACAUUUAAAAGCAUGUUUUCUCUACAUUGGAGCUUUCCCACAAAAUUAUUUACUAGACCAGUCCCAACUAGCCAACUUGUCGAGUGCUGAAGGAUUUCUUAACUCAGAAUCAGUGCAUUACUAUGAGGAGACCAUGGAUUAUGCAUAUGAUAGCUUUGGAUAUUGUGAUGACCUUUAUGCCACAAAUGUUAUCAUGUUCGACAAUGAAACAUUUGAUUUUUACCUUCAUUCGUCCUUUUGGUACUUGUGUAACAAAGAAGCUGCCAGGACCAAGUUGUUCUAUGCCUUAAAUUGCCAUGGCGAUACUCUACCGGAAGAAGGUAUAGAAAGCCAGCGCCGAUUGUGCAUCCGUAAUAAUAUUCUACUUGCCAUCAAAGAUGUGCACAACUCAAUUGCAUCUGAUUCAAAGGUACGAUCUCUCCUUUGUACCGGUUAUUUUCAUAAAUAUCCAGUACCGCUGUUUUUGGAACAUUUGAGGUUGCUGAGGGUAUUGGAUGCUCUUUCUAUUAGAUUCUAUGAGUUCCCGAUGGAAGUAUUGAAACUAGUUCAAUUAAGAUACCUCGCCCUCCUUUAUAAUGGAAACCUCCCUUCUUCCAUUUCCAAACUCUGGAACCUUCAAUACUUGAUUGUUGUUCGACAUCCAAGGAUAGUAAAAUCUGUUGGGAAUCUAUUGUAUCUGCCUAUUGAGAUAUGGAAUAUGAAUGAAUUGAAGUAUCUUUACACCUGCGGAAGAGACCUACCACAUCCUUGUUGUGAAGGAUCUCUCCUACCAAACCUAUUAAAACUAGGUGGUGUCGGUCCUCAAAGUUGUGCCAAAUCUGUGCUCGAAAAAAUCCCUAAAUUGAAGGCGUUAUCGAUUGAUAUCGAGCUGGCUCCUGAUGCUACAGAGCCCUUGACAUGCUUUGAUCACGUUUCCCAUCUCCAUCAACUACAAGAACUAAGAUGUUACAUUAUGAAUCCUACAUUGAAGACAGAGGUUGUUACCCCACUUGUUCCUCUUUCAGACUUCCCAUUAAGUCUUACAGCGUUAGUUUUGAGUGGCUUAGGAUCUCCGUGGGAAGAAAUGAGAAAGAUUUCUUCAUUGCCAAAUCUUACACAUCUCGAACUGAAAUUCUAUGCUUUUCGAGGCCCAAAAUGGGAGGUUCGUGACAACGAAUUCCAAAGUCUCUUAUAUCUUGAGAUUGAAGACAUCAAUCUGGAGCAAUGGACAUUUCAAAAUUGUCUAUGCCUCCCUGUGAUUCAGGGCCUUCACAUCGCACAUUGCUACAAGUUAAAAGAGAUCCCUCUCACAUUUGGUAAAUCUCUUCUAAGCAUUAAAAUAGUCGAAUGCAACCCUAUGGCUGUGAAAUGUGCAAUCAAGUUAAAAGAGGAGUGGGACGACAAAUAUGCUGGUCGUGAACGUUUGUUAGAACUUGUUGUUCGUUCUUCACUGUAACAAUGGGAACACCAAACCGUGAGUGACUCUACCAUAUCAUUGAUUCUUCAAAAGGUUAGUCGUUAAAUUUUUAUAUCUAUCGAAAAUACUAAUAUUUUAGUCAAUGCCCAUUCAGGUAAAAGGAAUUAAACAACCUUAAAUUUUUUAGUAUUAAAUUUGAAUUAACAUAUAUAUAUAUUUUAUUAUAAUUUCAUCAUACAGUGAAUAUUACCAAAGAUAUACUCAGUAUAUAUGCAUACAUUCUCCUACAAAACAAGAGAAAUAGACAAUAUAGAUAUAUGGUUGAUAACACAUAUAAUAGGAUCAUAUAAGUUGCGUUUGGAUGAAACAGUUUGAAUUUGCUACAACAGAGAUAGAUUUUAUUAUAGAGUAAAUUACGAAAACUCCGUGAACUUAGGCUAAAUAACGAAAAAAACCCACAUAUUCGUAAUUACCAAAAACCCCUGAGGUUUGUUUCCGUCUUACACCAACCCUUUACAGUAUGAGUUUUCACGUAUUUUUUUUAAUUCCAAGAAAUAGACUUUACACAAUUGCACAUAUUUUCUUUUAUUUCUCACCUAUUUAAUAAAAGGUAUAAUAGAUUGUACAAAUUUUCUGUUAAAAAACUCGGUUAACAGUUAAUCAGAAUGGGAUUUCGGUUAUUACGGAUAGGUGGUGGUGUUUUUCGUUAUUUAGCCUAAGUUCAGGGAGGUUUUCGUAAUUUACCCUUUAUCAUAUUACAAAUUAAUUUAUUUGAUUACUGAUUAAUGAAUUUGCUAUUAUGGAUUAAAAAAAAAAAUUAACAUCCGAAAUCAUUGAACAUUCUCCUUUAUUACAGGUGUAUCGUCUCGAGAGCCGUAGGCUGAUUGAUCACGAGAGAAAUUACAUCGACAUUGUUUGCAUCAAGAAAUCGGAGGAACGUACUUUCAGUUUUGAGACGGACAAAUCAAAGCGUGUUUGAAUAUUUUGUUAAUGUUAUUUGGUGUGUUUAAUUUUUCUUGAUUGAUUUUUUAUUACAUCCUCAUCAGUUAUAUGUUGUGAGGUUAAAAUUAAGACUAUUGCGCAAUUAAGAAAGGUGCACGUGUGUCGCACAUAUUGUCGAAUUUACAAAUUUUACUCGUCUCUGCCAAAAAAGGUAAAUCAAAGAUAACUACAUACAUACGAUAACCGAAGUAUAAGGAACAUAUAUGCUAGUUAGUCAUAUUUUCCUAUCGGAAAAAACUCCGUGUUUAGUCUCUUGAUUUCAUAUUUCAAAGAACUUAAAAAAAGCCCUCUGUUUCAUUACUUGAAGUUAGGUGUAAAAUACUCCCCUUUGACAGUUUUCGCGGAGCAAAAUCUCACCUUAGAAAACACAUAGCAAAUGAAAAGAAAAUCGAGGAUUGUUAUAAGCAUAUGCAGCCUCGAAACACAAUAUCAAACAUCAAAUAAAACGAGAAAUGGAGGGUUGCGUAUUUAUGAAAUUCCUCUUAAAAUUCUACAUUUACAUGGAUGGGGGUAUCUUUUCUCUGUCAUGUGCGGUGCACAUGCUGUUUUCCGUCAAACAACCCCACCCCCAACACAACUACUCUCCAUGAAAGCUCUCUAAUGGUGCAUCAACCGUUGCACACAUUCGGGAGCCGUCGUCUACCUGCAAUUGCAAACGUCUGGAUCUUGAUGUCGUGAGGGAGGUACGGUGGUUAUGAUGGCGGCGGCUGUGGUGGAGGUGGUUUUGGAGUCGACCUCACUCAUGUACGAAUCAAGGUUCACAUAAUUUAGAAUCGAGUUUUGGGAGGUAAGCUGCCAACCCUCGAACCCCAGAACGAAUUGGAGCCGGUUUAGAUCUAUUUUGUGCUGCCGACUUCCAAGCGACGCCGUUUCGGAGUUCGAGUGCUGGUUGGAGGUGAGGCCGACGAUGCCGUUUCGGGGUAGAAAUCGAGAUUGUUGUUUUCUGAUGACGAAGACGUCGGAGAUGGUGUGAAGCUGGUUGAGUGAACAUUUUUGUUUAUUUUGGAGAAGAUGGCUUUUUUGAAAAGGUCAAGGAUUGAAUUGAAUUUUUUUGAAUAUAGAAUUUUGGGGCGAAUCUGUAAUUUUUGAAAUUUAUAAUUAGAAGGGCAUUUUGGUCCUUUCGGGUUUAAAAUACACCCAGUCGCACAAUCCGCAUGUGGAGCACACGAUAAGCUGGCAGGGCCCUUGUUGCCUUUGACUAAUUUUCAUACGGGGCUAUUGCUAAUUCUUUUAACAUGAUGAUUUUUAGCAAUUUUAGAUUAUACAGGGGUGGUUUUUGCAAAAAAAAAAAAACAUAAUACAAUACAACCUGUUCAUUAGAAAAGUUAAUAAAUGGCCGACAUGGAUUAAUAAAUAAAUAUUCCUUUGCACAUGCUUCCAGAGCAAUAACUUCAACAAACAAUGCCUAUGAAGAAAUUUAUUCAAAAAAAAUCAGAUGCUGACAGUGAUUUGUCAAACAGAGAGAGAGAGAGUUGAAAGAUGGCUUAUGGUGCUGUUUCUUCUCUUGAGCUGACAAUUGAGCGCCUUUUGAAUUCAUCAAAUAUUCCGAUUGUUCAAAAUUCAUCCCCACAAAUCCUAAAACAUAUGUAUGAGAAUAUUCUUUCCUUAAAAGAAGAUCUGGGAGAAUUCUUUAUAAAAUAUUCUUUCCUUAUAUUACUCUUAAGCUGAAAUGGAAGGUGUGCGAAAGUUUAAGUGAAUUGAGAUACUUGAUCGUGUUGGAUGAUGUAUGGUACACGGAUCUCUGUUAUGAGUUCGCCAACGUAUUUCCAGACGACAAAAAUGGAAGUGUAGCAUUGCUGACAACUAGGCUAACAGAAGUAAGUAAAUGUGUCCACCCUUUGAAUUCUCACAGACUACCCUUCCUUGAUAAGAAAGAAAGUUGGGAACUUCUUCGUCACAAGGUGUUUGAUGCAAUGCCUUGCCCUCGUGAACUCGAGAAAUCUGGAAAGAAGAUUGCGGAGAAUUGUGAAGGUCUUCCACUUACAAUAGUUACAGUUGCCCACAUCCUUUCCAAAACUGACAAGACUUCGGUGUACUGGAACCAGGUAGCUAAUGAUAAACAAAAUUCGGUUUACAAGGAUGCAUAUGAUCAAAUGUCCAAUGUACUAUAUCCAAGCUAUGACUAUUUACCUCAACAUUUGAAAGCAUGCUUUCUCUACUUAGGAGCUUUCCCACAAGAUUAUAUGGUGUGGAGGCGCCAACUGAUCGACUUGUGGAGUGCUGAAGGAUUUCUUAACCGAAAAUCAACCAUGACUUCAACUGAUUAUACGUUUGCUUAUGUAGGAGCGCUUCUUUCAAAUAAUGUUAUCAUCUACAAUGAAGAAAAGUUUAUAUAUCACCUUCAUUCAUCAUUUUGGUACUUGUGUAACAAAGAAGCUACCAAGAAUAAGUUUUUCUAUGCAUUCAAUUGUCUUGCCGAUGCUCUACCAAAAGAAGGUAUCAACUACCAGCUGCGCCGAUUGUGCAUCCGAAAUAAUGUUCUACUUGCCAUUGAAGAUGCGCACGAUUCAAUUGCAUCUGCUUCAACGGUACGCUCUCUCCUAUGUACCGGUCCAUAUCAUCAAUAUCCUGUACCAUUUUGUUUGGAACAAUUAAGGUUGCUCAGGGUAUUGGAAGCUCUUUCUAUUAAAUCCUAUGAGUUCCCAAUGGAAGUGUUGAAACUAUUGCAGCUAAGAUACCUCGCCCUCACUUACGAUGGAAACCUCCCUACUUUCAUUUCCAAACUAUUCAACCUUCAGUACUUGAUUGUUCAUCAUCAGUACCGGAUCGUAAAAUCUGUUGGGAAUCCAUAUUAUCUGCCUAUUGAGAUAUGGAAUAUGAAAGAAUUGAAGUCUCUCGAGAUCCGGGGAAGAGACCUACCACAUCCUUGUGAAGGAUCCCUCCUAUCAAACCUCACAACUCUAACUGGUGUCGGUCCUCAAAGUUGUACCAAAGAUGUGCUUGAAAAAAUCCCUAAUCUGAAGGAGUUAACAAUCCAAAUCGAACUAGUUCCGGUUGCUUCUAAGCCCUUCAGUUGCUUUGAUCACAUUUACAAUCUGCAUCAACUACAAGAAUUAGAAUGUGAAAUUACAAAUCCUAUUUUCAAGGCUCAGGUUGUUACCCGAUUUGGUCCUCUUUUAGACUUGCCAUCAACUCUUACAAAGUUAACUUUGAGCGGCUUAGGAUAUCUGUGGGAAGAAAUGAAAAAAAUUUCUUCAUUGCCAAAUCUUACAGACCUGGUAUUGCAAUGCUAUGCCUUUCGAGGCCCGAAGUGGGAGGUUCAUGACCACGAAUUCCAAAAGCUUUCAAAUUGAAGACACCGAUCUGGUGCACUGGAAGUUUGUGACAACAAAUUUCUGCUUCCCUGCUAUUAAGGUUCUUGGCAUCGAACAUUGCUACAAGUUAAAAGAGAUCUCUCUCACGUUCGGUACAUCUCUUGAAAAUAUUUAUUUAGUUGACUGCAACCCUAUGGUUGUGAAUUGGGCAAACAGUUUAAAAGGGGAGUGGGACGACAAAUAUGGCGGUCAUGGACGUCGAUUAUACGUUAUUGUUCGUUAUUCAUUGUACUGUACUGAUGGGAACACCAGAAUAUUGAUACUUGAAAAGGUUAGUCAUUCAAUUUUUAUUUCUAUCUGAGGGUGAAUUUGUAUCAAAAGGGUUCGAAUUUGAGGUCUAACAGGCCGAUAAGUUCGAUUAUUUUUUUUUAAAUAUUUUUUAUUACCAAAGAUCUACUCAAUUGUAUGUAUAUGCAUACAUUCUCCUACAAAAUAACUAUAAAUAGACAAUACACAUAUAUGGUUGAUAACACGUGUAUUGGGAUAAUGUAAGUUGCGCUUGGAUGAAACUGUUGGAAUAACAAAACAAGUGCACGUCCGUUGCACGUAUUAUGUUAAUACGAAGCUUGGAUAUUCAUGAGUUAUCGUUAGAUGGUGAAUGAUUUGGUUUUGAGUUUUCUUGUAUUCAUAUAUUGUUCAAGUAAUUCUCAUCUUCAACUCGUGUGCAAUACUCGACUCAAUUUCCUUCUCGUCUUGUCUUGUUUGAUGUUCAUCCUAAUAUUUUAGUUAAUAGACAGUUUUUUUUAGUUAGUCGAUUGAGUUGUUUGCUUAGUCGACUAAGGUUUUUUAGUUAGUUGCUAAUUAUUUGAUUUAGCAGAAUGCAACAGUAAGUUAUAUUUUCAUCGGAAAAAAAAAGGCGCAAGUCCCGACAAUUGUGAGCAAUAAAUCUUUCUCGACGAAGAGUAAUGGUAGGUGAUCAUUUGUUGAGUCUCUCGAUUUCAUUAUCUGAAAUUAGGCGGAACAGUUUAUUUGGUGAUUUUAUGACAAUUAUAAAACUUUAGGCUUUACCUUAGGAUUUUUUCGUAAUUUGCCCUACUUUUUUUCUUGGGUGCAAAAUGUCAAUAUGGAUUGAGUAUAGGUACUUGAGUAAUUACAAGGAGCUAAUUGCAUAGAACCCCCUAUGCAAUUUUAUUUUUUAUUUUUUUGGGUAAAAUUCAUUUUGCACCCCUGUACUAUGCGAAAUGUAUCAUUUACCCCCCUGAAGUAUAGAAAACAUCAAACACCCCCCUGCCGUUAGUUUUUUUUUUCUAAUUCCGUUAGUCAAACCCUUUGACCGACUAUUGCAAAGAAAUGUUGGCUUUUUUAUUUUAUUAAUGAAAAUACCCAAAAAAAUUCUAUAUAUAGGAUGCUUCGUUUUGACAAAUGUCCACCGGAUUUUUCACCUUUUUCAGCCCUUUUUUUCACUUUAUUCAAUCAUUUACUUAACAUUUUCAGCCAUUUUUCUUAUAAAAAAGCUGAAUAGUCGAAUAAAUAAGAAUGAAGCUUUGCAGAUUAUGAAUGUAAACCAACAAAAAGGAAAACUAAAAGCCCUGAAAUCUAAAAGAAACCCUAAAAUUGGAAUAAAACCAUAUGAAAGAAUUGCAAAUUAAAAACAAAGAUUUUCAUAUUAUAAUGGAAAAAUCCUCGAAAAGGAAAACCAAAAAUAAAAUCAAAUUCUAAAAUCGACAAAAAACCCUAAUUUGAACGAACACUAGAAAUCGUCAACAAUCCACAAAAAAUAUGCCUAGAAAAAAUUAGGAAUUAUAUCAAACAUAAAAACAGAGUAAAAGAGUCAUUGCACACUCAAAAUUUAACACUGUUAAAAAUUUGACCAUUGACCGUUAAAAAUAGAGGGUGUUUGAUGUUUUCUAUACAUUAGGGGAUAAAUGAUACAUUUUACAUAGUACAUGGUGCAAAAUGAAUUUUACCCUAUUUUUUUUUAGAUGACCUCCUAUGUAAUUUCGAAUCAUCAAAAAAACCCUUUGCCUUAAAAAAAAUUAGCAAAGACCUCCCAAUAUAUUAUGGCUAUUUACCUAUGUAAGUUCAGGUGGUUUAAUGCUAUUUACCUAAUUUUAUUUGGCCUCUUUUGUAUUGUUGGAAAAAUAUGACAAGAGAAAACAAAAAAAAAAAAAAAAACUGAAUUUCUCAUGUGGGUUUCCGGAUGAUUUGGAGGAGGAUGAGGGAAGAGGCCAUUGAUUUGGAGUUAGGAGGCCCGGCCUCUCUCUCUCUCCCUCUCUCUCUCUCUCUCUCACACACACACACACACAAAAAUGCAUUUCAUUUUUGGCUUUGAUUGAAUUUUAGCUUCCCUUUUGCUUGUUGAUUUGCAAUGGAUUAUUUGAUGGUGGGGGAGACUUUUGGUGGUUGUAGGUGUGGUGGAGAAGAGAUAUCUGGUUUUGGGUGAUUUGGGAAGAUGGCUUUUUAGAAAAUAUUGGGGAUUGAAUUGAAAAGUUUGAGAACUUCAUUUUAAUUUGGGCCUUAUUAGAAUUAUGGGGUGAAUUUAGAAUUUUUCAAAUUUCUAAUUUAAAGGGUAUUUGAGUCUUUUCGCGUCAAAAAACACAAUCAUUCGCACAUUUCACGCGUGCUACACAUGUUCGGCUCGCAGGUGUGUUAUUGCCUUUAACUAAUUUUCAUAAGGAGGUGUUUGCUAAUUUUUUUUGAAAUAAGUGUUUUUUCAGCAAUUCAAAAUUACAUAGGGAUAAUUUUUGCAAAAACCCCUAAUUAUAAGUGAUGAUAUAUGAAACUAAAGUUGAUAUAUAUAAGAAGGGAAAAUUACAUUUUCACCCCUUAAGUUUGCACUAAUUUCACAUUUGGUCCCCAUGUUCACAAAAAACACAGUUGGUCCUUUAUGUUUCAAUAAUUUAACAUUUUUGGUCAUUUCCAUCAAUUUACCGUUAAUUCGUCAGUUAAGUAAUGAGGGGCACACGCUUGAUUCCGUUAGUACUAACCGAAAAUUGACGAAAAAGAAUAAAAGUGUUGAAUUUUUGAAACAUGAGAGACCAAAUAGGGUUUUUGUGAACACGAGGGACUAAACGUGAAAUCAAUGCAAAAUUAAGAGAUGAAACUGUAUUUAUCCUAAGUAAGAAUGAAGCACUUGCUGAACCAAUUAAUCUUAAUUAUUGUCCGAAAAUUAAUGCUUAACUUGCAGUGAGGCAAAUGAUUUCACCAACAGCUUAAUCAUCUCGAGAACUGGUUUGUAUUUGUAUGUAUAUAAACCGCGCAUUCAAGAAAUGGACUUUGACUUAAUCUCCUUGGAUAGUAACAAAGAGAAUAAUACAACUUUGGCAUUCAGCAUUGUUUCCAUCUUGGAUUUGGAGAAACGUAUUUUCAGUUCUGGGACCGACAAAUAAACGUCAUUUGAUAUUUAGUUAUUUGUCAUUUAUUAUUAUUAUUUUAUUUUAUUAUGUUCAUCUUCACUAGUUAUAUGUUGUGAGGUUUAAAAUUAAGACUUUUAUGCAAUCUUUACAUAUAAAAGAAAGGUUUUCCCCGAAACCCUAGUGGCAGUUUUCGUAAAAAAAAUUGUAGACCUAGGGGCUUUUACGUCCGUUCAUGUUUGUAACACCCCGCGUUUUCGGUAAAAUAAUUUUACCACCUUUAUGUGCAUAUUUGUGAAAUUAGAAUUUAUAAUAAUUCUUGCAUGGUUAGUAUUUACGUGAAUUAGGUAAUUAUGUGAAAUAUAUGAAUUAUGUGAUUAUGUGAAUUAUGUGAUUAGGAAAUAUUUCGAGAUAUUAUGUCGAAAUAAAUUAUUUUUCAUAAACUAGGAUUUUAUUCUUGCACAUGAAUUUAAAUGAGCAUUUCAUCAUAUUUAUGCAUGCACAAAAUUUUAGAAAAUAAAUUUUAUCAUGCAUUUUAGGAUUUUUAAUUAAUGUAGAAAAUUAGAAAAUCCUCCCCACAUUUUCUUGAAUUUUCGGAAAUCACACACACACACACAUGAUUUAAAAAUUGCAUAUUAAUUAGUAGUAGACAUGCAUUGGUGUGGUUGUACUUUGUGCACGGAAAGAAAUACCCAAGCCUAGCCCCCUACUCUAUAGACUAGGUAUGCUUUUCCACUCCCACACACAACUUUAAGGCCAAAAGUCUUUCUUUCUUCUUCCUCUCCCCUUCAUUUUUUCGGUAGCCAUAUCACCACCACCAUAGCCACCACCUUCUCAAGCUUGAACCACCCAAGAACCACCACCACUUCAACUUUCGAAAAUUUCAAAAUCACCCCGACAAAAAGAUGUAUUUUCCUUUCUUCUCCAUUGGCUUUGAACUCUCCAAAAACUUUAUAAAUACAUCCAAUGCCCAAGAUCAAAAUACACUCUCCAGCUCCAAUCUCACUAUCUAUAAGUUUCAGGUCUCCUAUUUCAACAAAAGGAGAAUUUUAGGAGAAUUAUCUAUAAGCUUCUUCUUCCUCUUCUUUUCUUUUUUCUUUUCGAAAAGAGCUUAUCUCUUCUUCAUCCAAGUUCUUCUUGUUCUUCUUGUUCUUUUCUUAAUACAUAAUCUAACUCUUAAUCUCUUGUUGUAUUAGAGAGAAAAUUAAAGAGCUAACAAAUCCUUCCCCUAAAGAGAGAGGUGAGAAUUCUUGAUUCUUGCUCAAACAUGCAACACCACUAGUAUUUUCGGUUUUUAUGUGUUUUUAUUGUUUAUUCUUGCAUAUUAUGUGAUUAUAUGGCUUAGAUGAUGAUUGCAUGUAGUAUUUUGAAAAGAUAACUUUGUUCUUGAAGUUUUAUGUGUUUUUUGAAAAUUUGGGGAAAAAUACUUAAAUUUCUUAUUUGACUUAAUUAGUGCCUUGCAUGUGUUUAUUUCGUGUUUGAUUGUUGAUUUGUGGAAAGAAAAUGAAUUUUGGCCUAGCCAUGAAACUUUCGGAAAUUUGGGGAAAAAAUUUUAAAUUGCUUAUUUGGCUUAAUUAGUGCCUUGCAUGUGUUAAUCUAGUGUUUGAUUGUUGAUUUGUGAAAAGAAAAUGAAUUUUUGGCCUAGCCAUGAAACUUUCGGAUUUUUGGGGAAAAAUGCUUAAAUUGCUUAUUUGGCUUAAUUAGUGCCUUGCAUGUGUUAAUCUAGUGUUUGAUUGUUGAUUUGUGAAAAGAAAUUGAUUUUUUGACUUAGCUAAGGAACUUUCGAAUUUUUGAGGUAAAAUGCUUAAAAUUGCUUAUUUGGUUUAUUUCAUAUUUUGCAUGUGUUGAUCUUGUGUUGAUUGUUGUUUUAAGGCCUUGCAUGUUAAGAUUGGUGAUUGAUUGUUGAUCUAAGGUCUUGCAUGUUAAGAUCUAGUGAUUGAUGGUUGAUCUAAAGUCUUGCAUGUUAAGAUCUAGUGUUUUCUAUGUAAAAUGAUGAAAAAACCAAGAAUUUGUGCUAACUUGAUUUAAAAUACUCUUGCAUGUGAAGAUCUAGUGUAUUUACUUGAAUAAAUGUAAAGAUGGAAGUCUUGAAUUUUAUUCUUGUAAAAAUGCUAGAUUUAGUGAACUUUUGAUGUUAGAUUGUCUUUGUAUGUUAAGAUUUCGGUUACUUUAUGUUUUUAUGGCUAAAUGAUUUUGUGAAACUUUAUGUGUAUUUUCUAUGUGCUCUUGCUUGCUUAUGUGAAUCAUUGGGUGUGAGGAUGAGAGAAGGGUAAGUAGAAGGGUGCAUGUGUGGGUGCAUUAGUGUCAUGAAAUUUUAAAAGAUAAAACUAUGAUGAAAAGUCUUUCGAGGUUACGGUAAAUUUCCCGGGUACGGCGAGUCGGUACCGUAGGGCCUAGGGGUGGUUUGAUCCCACGUAGAUAGACAUGAUUCGAAAUAUAUGAGGUUAUUUACCGGUAACUUAGAUUGACUCUUCCGAGGGAUUCCCGAUGAUUUUUCAUGUCAUGCAUGUUGUAUUAUGGUGUUGAGGAUAUAGAUGGGAAAAUCUCAUUCUAUGGUCUUGGGAUCGUAGGGUUAUAAAGGUGGGAAAUUCUCAUUCUAUAAUCUUCAAUACGUGUCAUGGCAUAGGGUUAUAAAGGUGGGAUAUUCUCACUCUAUGGUCUUGGGAUCAUAGGGUUAUAAAAGUGGGAAUUAUCUCACUCUAUGCGUGUGACAAUUAUGUGAUGAAGAACUCCGACAAAAAAGGGAAGUAUAUGAUUGUUUUACUUUAUGUUUCAUGUUCAUGUAUAACAUAUAUGUAUGUAUAUAUAUAGAUAUAUGUAUGCUCUAUGUGUUAUGUGUAUUCGAUAAUACUUCAAGAUUCUCAUUGAGUCCUCAAAGGCUCAUAUAGGUGUUGUAUGUUUGUAGGUAUACCCGAUUUGGAGCUCGAGGAGUGAAGUUGGGAAUCGAGCUCGAAAAUCGGAAGGAGAUCGUAUGGAGGGGUUGUGGAUUGUGUUGGCUCUUAAUUUAGUUAUGUGGUUCUAUUUGUAUAAUAUGCUUGUAAAAACUUUUGAUACGGUUUUAGGUAUUUUCUACCGCUCGCUUCCUCCGAUCGGUGGGAAUUAUUGAAAGACGAUAUGUGUAAUAGUAAUUAGGAUUACCCUCUUUUGGAUAAUUAAUCGGUAAUCCGUAGGCUUUUGUAAGCGAAAGCAAAUUUUCACUAUCUAUGUGCAUGCAUGCUUUUCGGCUAGUAACUUCUUUAUGUUUUGUCUCGAUGUUUGCAAAUUAUUUUCAUAUAGGUUCUCUGCUCAGAAAAUCAUGAAAUUUUAGGAUUCUCUGCAUCUUUCUGUUCUCAUGAUAUUGAUAAGUCUUUUGCAUUAUUUGGGUAAGUAUUCAAUUAGUUAUGAUUUAUUUCUCACUACUGCAUUGAAACAGGGUUAUUCGGGUGUUUUCUGGUAUAACUGGAGUUUUACUCACUCAAAUUCCUUGUUUCCACUUGGAAAAUGUUUUAAACUUAUUUUUAUGCCUUGGGGUAAAAUUUCGUAGUUUUGGGUCAGUGAGGAAUAUAAUUUAUCAUGAAUUUUCAAAACUCCCUCCCCUGUUCUGGAUUUUAAACCGAGUGACUGUGCCAUUUUAUUUAUUUCUCCUAAAUGGCCAUGCAUAUUCUAAAACUGUUUUAACCGAGUGAUCUAGACCCAUGUUAGAUGGUAUGGUAUUAUUUUGGGGUCAUUCGCAUGAUUAGUUCAAGAGGAAUUAAUUUUUAAAGCUUCUGCAUUUAAUCUGUCCGAACCUGCAUUAAGUCCAUCAUGCCUAGUUACUUUCUAGUCUUGCAUGUAGCAUGCUUUGGUGUUAAUUGGUUGAUUAGGGUUUAGUAUAGUGUGACCUCUCUCCCUCUGAUUUAAAAAGAAAUUUUUUUACGUAAAUUUAUAUCCACAAAAAUCAUUUUUAAAAGUCUUCCGCUGAGAUUACAUAUAAUAAGAGUAAUCGAGAGAGGGGUGUCACAAUAUUGAUCGGUUUUUCGUUUUUUCCUUUUAUAAAAAUAGUUUCGCAAUGAACAAACAGGACAAGCCUCUAUUUUUUUCUCUCUAAAUCAAACAAUCUCUGUUUGUUUAUCCUUCAUAUUUUUUUUUUUUUUUAUUAAAUUCAUUUUUGAUGAAGCAGUUUGGGAAUGAGACUGCUGGAGUGAAGUUCUGCAUGGAUCCUAACAAUCUCUACAACCUGCAUUCGUUCAAGCACUCAAUAAAGGCCGAACUGCACAGUCAUAUUUAUUUAUACUGAAAUGCUAUUCAUAGUGCAAUUUUUACUGCUUUGCAGUGCAAUUUAUUUCAUUUGUAACUUUUCUAAAAAAAACAAAUUCGCUCGCUAUUUCAUGUAUUAUUACACGAAAUUCACUCAAUAAUUUCGUGUAUUUUUACACGAAAUAUAAGUGUUUAUUGUUAUAGAACACGAAGGACGAAACUGUUAGAUUGAAAAAAAUCGUGUAUUUCGUGUAAUAAUACACGAAAUUGUACAUCAUAUUUCGUGGAGUUUUCCACGAAAUUGUAGAUCAUAUUUCGUAGAUUUUUCCACGAAAUAUAAUGUAAUGUUUCGUGAAAUUCAGUACGAAAUCACUAUUUGAUUUGUUUUUUAAUUAACCAAUUUAUUUCAGACACUCAAAUUGACCUAAAAAUUCAAAUACAAAUACAAAUUGAACUAGAAUUCAAAUACAACUAGAAAUUGAUCUAAAUUUCAAACACAAAAUUAACCUAAAAAUUCAAAUACAAAUACAAAUUGAACUAGAAUUCAAAUACAACUAGAAAUUGAUCUAAAUUUCAAACACAAAAUUAGCCUAAAAAUUCAAAUACAAAUACAAAUUGAACUAGAAUUCAAAUACAACUACAAAUUGUAUAUUUUAAUGAGUAGCUGGGAUUCAGAUUAUUAUUUAAGAUGGGAACAAUGAUUUUUGUUUUUCAGUUUUUAGUAAAUAGGGAUUUUGUUUCAUUGUCUCAACAUGGAAUUGGUUGCUUCGUUUGAAUUUAUAAAAAAUAAAAAAGGAUCUUGGUAUGUACAAAAAAACAUAAUUUAUGGCUGAAUUGUCAUAAAUUAAUAAGCUAACUAUUAAAAAAUGUAUGUACAAAUUCAAUUCAAUGGAAUCAAAAGAAAGGUUUUUCCCGAAACCCUAGAAGCAAUUUUGUAAAAUGUUUGUAACCCUAGGUUUAUUUUUGUCAAUUUACUUUCAAGUUAAUAUAUUUUCUUUUUUUCUUUUCUCCCGACAUUUUGUUACGUGGUAAUUUGAGUAAAGAAACAUAGUUCGAGAAUUAAGAAAAAAUCGAGAGAUAUGAAUUAGGAGAAUUAUAAUUAGGAGAAGAAUUAGAGACGAGAAUUAAGAGAUGACAAAGGGAGAUUAAUUGAUUCUUAAACUUCAUAAUACGUAACAUUCUAAUUACCCUAUUUAUAAUACUCAUAAAUAAUAAUUAACUACCACCCCACUAACCCCUUAACCACACUAACCCACUAAUGUAAUUCAUGCCCACUAAUAAAAAACUAUCCACUAACAUAUAAUUUGACUAAUUCUAAUUAAAUUAAAUAAUAAAACAUAUCAUUCCCGUCCGCUCAAAAUAUCCUUGUCCUCAAGGAUAUAGUCUUGAUACGUGUAUGGGAUCAUUUUGUGAAUUCAGUUGAUCGGGUGAUCCAUCACAUAUUUGAGAGAGUUGUUCGAACUCUUCAUGGUAAAUGGCAUCAAUGAGUGUUUGUUUCAUGAAACGAGUGAGGGCUUCAGAAGGAUCGUCAAAUUCGGUAGGACUAAAACGGUAGAGCAACGCCUUAGUAAAAUAUUCCCCGGCCGACGAGCCCUUGAACCCAAUUAACCGGCGAUUCCGUUCCAAAGUGAGUCCUUCCAAACGAAAUGAAUCGAGGUGCACCUGCUGAUUUUGGGCAAUACUUUGAAAUUCAAAAUAUUGCUUGGCUUGGAAAAUCCAUUCCGUUGCGUUAUCUGUGGCGACUUUUGGAAUUUGUUGUUUGAGGUUUGUAUUUGGGGCAGGGUAUGGAGUUGAGUGUGUUGUAGGUAUAUUUAUUUUUUGCUUGACCGGUAGUGGUGUUUCUCCCACAACAAAGGAGUUGACAUCAUUUUCGGCUUUGGAGGAGGCUCUUAGAGCUCGAAGUUCGGUGAGAACAACUUGGAGGGUGUUGUGUAUUUUGUCGAAAUUUGAUUCGUGUCGAGCUAGGGUUUCAAUAACCUCAGCACGAAACUCAGCAUCUGAUUGGUUACGUGCCUCCAUGGAACGUAACGGCUCUGAUACCAUUGUUACGUGGUAAUUUGAGUAAAGAAACAUAGUUCGAGAAUUAAGAAGAAAUCGAGAGAUAUGAAUUAGGAGAAUUAUAAUUAGGAGAAGAAUUAGAGACGAGAAUUAAGAGAUGACAAAGGGAGAUUAAUUGAUUCUUAAACUUCAUAAUACGUAACAUUCUAAUUACCCUAUUUAUAAUACUCAUAAAUAAUAAUUAACUACCACCCCACUAACCCCUUAACCACACUAACCCACUAAUGUAAUUCAUGCCCACUAAUAAAAAACUAUCCACUAACAUAUAAUUUGACUAAUUCUAAUUAAAUUAAAUAAUAAAACAUAUCACAUUUUUCUACAAAUUCUCACUUUCUCUAAACCGAUGAAGAAAAACCGUCCUGAAUCCCCUAACUUCUAAUUUGAUGUAUGAAUUUAUGCACUGAAUUAUUGGUUUAUUUUAAUUUUUAUUGAAUUUUCUGGUAACACGUGAGACUUUCGAUGUAUUACAAUCCACUUGAUUGUAUAAUUUUUUUUACUCUCUGAAUACAUCAUAUUUGAUAUGGAAAUUGUGUUAUUUUACUGGUUUGUCCAUCAGCACCUAUUGUUUCUAUUUAUAGCUUUACAUCUUAAUAUAUGGUUUUGUAGAUUUUGAUUUUAGGCACGAUGACUUUGUUGAGCUACCAGGUUUCUUGGCUGAUUUUUUGUAUAUCUACAUACAUACAUAUAUGUUGUUGUUAUUUGUGCACCCUGUAAGAGUUUUUUGAUGAUCCUUUUGUUGCUCUCUGUUAGAGCAUAUAAUUAAAGGAAAUUGUUUUGGUUUUUCGGUAAGCGGUAAUGCGCCUAUAAAUGUAUUGCACUUUUGCAGCCUGUCUAUUUUUUCUGCAUGAUAAAUUUUUUAUUUGUGAUUUUUCUGUAAUUCUGUUGAUAUCCAAUUUAUAAUAAAAUAAAAUAAAAAAACAAAGAAAUCACUAUGGGUUGAGGGAUUGGGUGAAAAAUAAUAGAUAUUUCCACUGUUGUUUAAUUGAUUCCAUACUUGUGCUGAAAUUUAUUCACUAUGUUUUUUUUUAUUUAAUUUGUCCAUUCCAUGUUUAUUGGAAAUGUGAUUCCAUUUAUGUGCAGUAUUUAAGUUUGAUUCCGAAACCUCUUAUGUGAACGAUAUGUAGCUGCAUACAUCUUGCAACGCAUCCAAGGUGAGAUGGUCAUAUUGACUCAAGAUGAAGCACUUUACAGCCAGUAAUUAGAAUUGCCAAAAUUAUCAUAGAUCGUCUUAUGAUCUUUUCAAAGCAUUUGUUCUUUCCUUAUAGAAAUUGCUUCGUGAUCGAUUGAUCCUCUAUUAUGGAGUUUCACUACGUUUGUUUUGUAUUUUUAUUUUUCUUUCUGAAAUUUGCUUUUGACAUCAAUUUUAUUUACAAUUGUACUUUGAUAUUUACGCAUGCAGUGUCUACCUUUAUGGUGUUGGAGUUGUUGUAAUCAUAGGUACGUUCUUUUUUAUAAAUAUUGCCAGUCUCAAGACUGUUAAGUACCAUUAUCAGGAUGAUGUACUUAAUCAGCGAGAACAUAAGAAAUUUCUGUUAUUAACAUCUUUAUUUUAAUCAACAUUUUUGUUAUUCCUAGAAAAUUUAGAUUAAAUACUAAGCAAGUCAUCCUAUAUAUUUAUUUAUUGCAUAAUAUCAGAUUUGCAUUGUUUGGUAAGUAUAACUGAUAAGUUGUUCUCAUUUUUUACAUGACAAGGAAUUCUAGUUAUUAAAAAAGUGUGUGUGUGUCGUAUUGUGUUAAUACGAAGCUUGCAUAUUGAGUUAUAGUUAGACGGUGAAAGUUUUGGUUUUGAGUUCUCGUGUUUCGUAUGUUGUUCAACUAAUUCUCAUCUUCAACUUUCGUGUGCAAUACUCGACUCAACUUCCUUCUCGUCUUGUCUUGUUUGAUGUUCAUCCUAAUAUUUUAGUUAAUAGACAGUUUUUUUUUUAGUUAGUGGAUUGAGUUAUUUGCUUAGUCGACUAAGGUUUUUUAGUUAGUUGCUAAUUAUUUGAUUUAGCAGAAUGCAACAGUAAUAAGUUAUAUUUUCAUCGGAAAAAAAAGGCGCAAGUCCCGACAAUUUUGAGCAGUAAAUCUUUCUCGACGAAGAGUAAUGGUAGGUGAUCAUUUGUUGAGCUCGAUUCCAUUACCUGAAGUUUAGGCGGAACAGUUCAUUUGAUGGAAACACAUUUCUAUUUUUUCCAUUAUUACCAGGAACAUCCUCAAAACUUUUAAAUAUUUACGGAAAUGACCCCGAAACGUUUCCGACAAGUGUCAUGGUGUUUCGAUUUCCGAAAUGCGAAAACGCGUUUACCGAAGUUUCCGUGCACCAUAGCGUUUCAUUUAUGGGAUUUUAUAAUUUGUGGGAUGAAAUUGUAAGAUUAAAGUGAAAUUGAGGCUGAAUCAAAAAAAGAAGUAAAAAAAGGGUUGAAUGUGUUAUUUUAGAAGGCUCACGUACUCCACACGUGACUUAAUCGGCUCCCAAAUUGGUCUAUAUAUAGAGGGCAAAUUACCAAAACCCCCCUGAGGCAAGCCUAAAUAACGAAAAUCCCCCCACGUUCUCGUAAUUACGAAAACCCCCCUUGACUAACGGUUGACCGAAUUUUUUUAACCGAAAACGUGAAAUGUCUAUUAUAUCCUUUUGUUAAAUAUGUGAAAAUAAAAGGGCAAAUUACCAAAACCCCCCUGAGGUAAGCCUAAAUAACGAAAAUCCCCCCACGUUCUCGUAAUUACGAAAACCCCCCUUGACUAACGGUUGACCGAAUUUUUUUUAUUUAUAUAUUUUAAUUGAUUUUAUUUAUCCAGAGGAGUAUUAAACCGAUAUUGUAUAUUAAAUAUAAACGAAAACCCCCACUUACAUGUUGUAUAUUAAAUAUAAAUUAAUCUUUAAAAAACAAAAAAAAGAAAUAAAAACAAAAAAAAGAAAUAAAAACAAAAAAAACAAAAAACAAAAAAGGAGAAAAAUAUAUUGAGUCUUCUUCUUCCCUUCGUCCUUCGGAAGAGACGACCCAAUCUCCAGUCCUCCUUCGGAAUCAUUCGACUUGCACAACGAAAUCGAAUACUUCUCUCCAUCAAGCUUUCUCGCCCUUCCCAAUCCGAAAUCCGCAUCGCACAAGUCGAACUUCGGCGAACCGGAAACCCCAACUGUCCUCAUCCCUACAAAUUUCUCACUAUCGGACAUCCAAUUCUCGACACCUUUCAAAACCUCGUCUUUGUUAUUCACCCUGUUUUUAAUAUCCAAAGCUAUAGCCUCCGCAGCAAUUACAAACCCUUCUUCCCCGACAAGUGUUUUGUGCUUGAUUUUCGCUAUUCCGCCACCCAAGCAAUUGCCGAAGUAAUUCAGUGGCAUCGGCGGAUUAGUUCUCCCUCUAACAUCGACCGUCAAAUUUUCCUCUUAAAUUCGACACCUACCUGUUAUGUCGAAAUUUUUGAAAAGAAUCGACACUUGUGUAUCGAAUUAAAAAUCGACAUUUGUGAGCGGCGAUGGAGGACGUUUUUUCGACGGCAAUAGAGGACAUCUUAGACGGCGGCGAUAAAGGACUUAUUUUCCGGCGGCGAGGCAAGUUUUGUCGGUGUGUGGGCGAGUUCUCGGCGGCAGGCAAGAUCCCGGUGAGGCUUUGAAGCUUGAAGUCAAUCUCGAAUGUGUCGUCUGAUUGUGGUCUUGCCUGAGAGGAAUUGGAUUUUAUUUAUAUAUUUAUGACCCCUCAUUAAAUAAAAUGCUUACAAUUACCCCCCUAAGGGUAAUUUCGUGUACAAGGGCAAAAUUGGUAUUAUCGGAGGAAUAUUCGGAAGAAUAAAAAAGAUUCUAUCGAGUUUAACACCGUUAGAGCGAUUUGUAAGAUGUCUGCAUACCUCAGGGGGGUUUUCGUAAUUACGAGAACGUGGGGGGUAUUUUCGUUAUUUAGACUUACCUCAUGGGGUUUUGGUAAUUUGCCCAUAUAUAAAUGCACCAUCCACGAUGAGGACUAAGGUGGUGUUUGCAAAUGAUUAUUUAAAAACAGAAGUUAGUGAUUGUGAUUUAAGUUAGUUUUAAGUGCUUAUUUCUAAAAGUUUGGGGUGUUUGCAAAUAUUUCGGAAAAUGAACUAAAAUUGAAAAAGCAGGGUUAGGGGUGCUUUGAAAAAAAUAGCUUAAAGCAGAUUAUUUUAAGAGAAGCAAAAGCAAAAGUUGAUUUUGCAAACACCUAAAAACAGAUUAUGAGCAAAAAAAACCGCAUAAUCACUUUCAAAAAGCAUUUACAAACACCACCUAAGACUCAAUCUUCUUGGAUUAAUGUAUCAAACUGCACAUGGAAAAUGUCAAUCGAGUAAACAUAUUACAUAAUUGACCUUGGGAGAGACAGAAAGAGAGAUAAGCAUACGUUGGAUGUUAGAUAUUUUUUAAAAGGAUAAAUUCCACUUUCCCCCCUUUACUAUGGUUCGAUAUCCUUUGCCCCCUUCUACUCUCAAUUACAUCGAUUUGACCCCAUGUACUUGAAAAGUUGUCGGAAUGUAGCCCUUGCCGUUAGUCUUUAGACAUUUGACUUUAACACCGUUUGAUCUAAGUCUGAAAAUUACAAAAAACCUCACCUCCCAGUUUAAAUAAUAAUUUUUUUUUUAAAUUUAAUUUUUUUUUUUAAAUUAAAAAUAAAUUGUGGUUGCCGUCGUGGACUAUACUUUCUCGUUAUCUUGAUUUUUUUAUUAUUUAUUUUUUGUUUUUUUAAUAAUUAUUUAAAUUGGGAGGGGUGAUGUUUUUGUAAUUUCAGAGCUUAGACCGAACUGUGUUUAUGUUAAAUGUCUGACAACUAACAACGAUGACCACAUUGAGACAAUUUUUCCAAGUACGGAGGCCCAAAUCGAUGCAAUCGAGAGUAUAAUAGUCUAAAGUGAUAUCGAGCCAAAGUACAAAUGUGGAAAGUGAAAUUUACCGUUUUUAAAACUGAAGACAAAAGGUAGAUAAACGUCUCUGUCAAGAAUUAUUAUUGCUGUUGGACAAAAAUGGAUAUCCAUAAAUAUAUGGAUGAAAAUAUUCAGCGUUUCAAUUUUUCUUCCUUUCACAUUUGUCAUUGAAAAAUUAACCAUUGAGUUUCUCCUUAAAUAACUUUUGAGUUCGGAAACACUAAAUCAAUUUUCUUCUCUUAGAUAAUUCUCUUGCAUAGUUAUAAUUUCACAAACAAAUGCUUAUGUAGAAGAGUUGUUCCAUAUUUCCAGUUCACUGAAAUUAGUUGUGUGAGAUCUGAGAGAGAGAGAGAUCUGAGAGAGAGAGAGAGAGAGAGAGAGAGAGAGAGAGAGAGAGAGAGAUGGCUUAUGGUGCUGCUGGUAGUCUGGAGCUGACAAUUGAGCGGCUUUUGAAAUCAUCUUAUAUUUCGAUUGUUCAAAAUUCAUCUCCACAAAUCAUCAAAGUUUUGUACAAGGAGAUUCUUUCCUUAAAAGAAGCUCUCAGAGAAUUCAAUAAAAAGAGGAGCACCGUCAACAUGAAGAUGGUGAAAAGUUUGGAGGCGGAAAUGGUCGAGGCAAUAUACAAAUUCGAAGAUGUAAUCGAACCUCAUCUCUCAAAUCAGUUCCAUUCACAAUCUGAAGAAGAAGAAGAGACGGCCGAUCAUCCAGCAUCAAUGGUAUUCUCAGUAGAUGUGCAUGAAAUAAAGCAAGAUGUCGAUUCCUUUAUCGAAACAAUGAACAAGAUGAAGAGGGCCUACAUCCAUGAGUUAUGCAACCCUUCGCCUGAAGAAGAUGAAGAUGGUGUUGUCCCGUCAAGAAUCGAUUUUGGUGUAAAUGAGUCUAACAUGGUUGGUUUAUCUGAUCUAUUUAUGACAAUCAAAGAUCGAAUUGAUUCCGAGCAAUCUGAAGGGAUGAUUGUGUCGCUCUAUGGGAUGGCGGGCAUUGGUAAGACUACUCUUGCCAAGAAACUCUUUCAAGAUCCAUUAAUUGUGAGUCGUUAUAGCAGGCUCGUGUUCGUGACCAUAGGCCCUAAAUAUCGACUAGCGGAUAUCUUGGUGGAUAUUCUAACACAAGUGAAUCCCGACAUUGAUGAAAUAAUGCUUAAGAAAGGAGAAAAAGUAUUAGCUGGAUUGAAAAGGAUGGUUUACGAAACUUUAAAGUAUUUGAGAUACUUGAUCGUGUUGGAUGAUGUAUGGGAAAUAGACCUCUGUUUUGUGUUGUUGGAGUUAUUUCCAGACGACAAAAAUGAAAGUCGAGUGUUGGUCACAACUAGGAUGAAAAAAGUAGCUGAUUGUGCUAAGCCUUUGAAUAAUUUCAAUAUACUCUUCCUUGAUAAGAAAGAAAGUUGGGAUCUUCUUCGUGAGAAGGUGUUUGGUGAAGAAGAACCGUGCUCUUAUGGACUUGAGAAAGCUGGAAGGAAGAUUGCCGAGAAUUGUGAAGGUCUUCCUCUUACAAUCAUCAUGGUUGCCAAUAUCUUGUCAAAAGUUGACAAGACGAUAGAGUACUGGAACGAGGUAGCGGAUGAUAAACGAAAUUCAGUAUACAAGGAUGCAUAUGAACAAAUGUCAAAGGUACUAUAUCCAAGCUAUGACUACUUAGAUCAACAUUUAAAAGCAUGUUUUCUCUACAUUGGAGCUUUCCCACAAAAUUAUUUGCUAAACCUGCCCCAACUAACCAACUUGUUGAGUGCUGAAGGAUUUUUUUACUACUUAGAAUCAAUGAAUUAUACAUAUUUGUAUGACCUUUUUCCCAAAAAUGUUAUCAUGUGCGACAAUGAUACAUUUCAUUUUCACCUUCAUUCGUCCUUUUGGUACUUGUGUAACAAAGAAGCUGUCAGGACCAAGUUGUUCUAUGCCUUAAAUUGCCAUGGCGAUACUCUACCGGAAGAAGGUAUAGAAAGCCAACGCCGAUUGUGCAUCCGUAAUAAUGUUCUACUUGCCAUCAAAGAUGUGCACAACUCAAUUGCAUCUGAUUCAAAGGUACGAUCUCUCCUUUGUACCGGUUAUUUUCAUAAAUAUCCAGUACCGCUGUUUUUGGAACAUUUGAGGUUGCUGAGGGUAUUGGAAGCUCGUUCUAUUAGAUUCUAUGAGUUCCCGAUGGAAGUAUUGAAACUAGUUCAAUUAAGAUACCUCGCCCUCCUUUAUCAUGGAAACCUCCCUUCUUCCAUUUCCAAACUCUGGAACCUUCAAUACUUGAUUGUUGUUCGACAUCUAAGAAUAGUAAAAUCUGUUGGGAAUCUAUUGUAUCUGCCUAUUGAGAUAUGGAAUAUGAAUGAAUUGAAGUCUCUUCACACCGGCGGAAGAGAGCUACCACAUCCUUGUUGUGAAGGAUCUCUCCUACCAAACCUCUUAAAACUAAGUGGUGUCGGUCCUCAAAGUUGUGCCAAAUCUGUGCUCGAAAAAAU
rnacentral:lncRNA from 1 species